rnacentral:lncRNA from 1 species
UCUAAUUUUCUAUCUGAUUCUUUCCUAUUCUUUUUUUCCUCGUAUUAAUAAAUGUGAAAAUAAAACCUUUUAUUUUGAUAUUUUUGGAUCUCUUAAGUGGAAAAAGGAAGAAUAACCAUUCCAUCUUUUUUAUUUUUAAUUAUAUAUAAAAAGGGUAAAUAUAUUUAAAAUUUUUUGACCAUACUAGUUAGAUUAACGAUGUAGUAAAAUACCUAGAAAAUAAUGUUAGGGAUUAAAGCGAUUGUAUCACUAUAAUUUAAAAGGAUAGAGUAAUAAUAACAAUGUAUUAAUGCUAUAGAAGAAAAGAGUAUUUUGUUCAAAAUUUCUUAAUAUGUUGAAUUGAAUUACUUAUGGGGGUGAAGUGGUUAAAAAAUAAUAUUAGAGGAUAAACUGAUAGUAGUGAUAUAGUUUAAGAGGGUAAAGUCAUAAUAAUUCCCAAAAAAACUCAUAUUUGCAAACAUCUAUAGAUUACUUUCAAAUUUUUUUUUUUGUUAAGGUAACUCCGAAUAGUGAUCAAAUGGCCAGAUUACAUUUCAAACUUCAUUCCAAAAGAACCAUCUUUUGCAAAAGCUUAUUUUUGGCUGGAAUAUGGUUGGCAUUUGACUGAGGAUUGAUUGAACAAUAAAAUAUAGAAUCUAGAAGCCUAGAAUUGCGGAAGAAGAUAAGAUAAUCGCCAGCACACAAAUACACAAUAACUCCAUCCAUCAAACGCAUUCAACACACAAUAAUGUUAUCGUUUUUCAAAAAAAAAAAAAAAAAAUCAAACGCAUUCAAUUCAUCCGACGCAUUGGAUAUUUUGCAAUGUGACCCGAUUUUUUAAAAUCUAAAUUAUUCCACGUCAUCUCAUCAAAUGCUGUAACACUAUCUGGACGAUUGAAUUUUUGAAAAGUGAAUUUAUCCAAGUUUUGACACCUGGUAAAUGGUAUUGAUAAACCGCGUGAGUGAAGAUUACAAGAAUUCUUUAUGACACAUUCGUGAUUUGAAAAUUUUUAACAUCAAGAAGUGGAUAUAAGAAAACGAAAACAAGUAAUACGAAUAUUAUUUAUUAAAUAUUUUACUCGUAAAUAUAGUUAAAUCGCACCUAAAUUACUAUAUAAUUGCAUAUAUUAACAUUUAUUGUAUUUUCACAUUAUAAAAUUUUGUCAAAUUAAUUACAUUUUUUUGCAAAAAUUGAAUGCUUUUUAACCAGCGACUACUUUAGUCCCAUAAUAAUAAUUGUUCUUUUUUGGCAAAAUAUACGAUAAGAAUUUCCUUUAUGAGUUGGCAAGCAUCAAAACCCUGACGUGGAAGUAUAGAGUGGUUGUUGGAAAUUCUGGCCUCUUUUGGAUGAUUGAUAGUGCCACACGGAAUCAUCCGAAUCGCGGGCCAGAUUGCCUGCCAAUUAGUUGACUGGCCCUUCAGCAGAUUGGUAACAGCAUUUGAUGUGGGAGUCAAGGCAAAGAAAGGGGGUUUGGUAGCUCGAACCAGGGCUUUCUAAAUAGAUUAUCCUUAUAAGAUCUAAGUCCUCUAGUACCUUGGACCUCAUGCGGCCCAGGCUCUUUUAGGAGUUAUUGGAUUGACUUUGUUUCAUUUUGUUGGCAUGGACAUUAAAUGGGGGAUCGUAGUGUUACUCCUAUUCAAAUCUUCACCCUUUUUAUUUUCUCAGGGUAUGAUUUAGAAUAUUUCUUUAGACCAAAAAAUGUUAUUACUCGUAUCAAAAUAUAUCUAUGAAAAUAAUAUUUCUAUCAAUAAAUAGAAGUUUAUUUAAACAUCAAUAACAUUUCUUUGAAAAAAAUUUAGAAAAAUGAAAUAGAAAGAGGGAAGAAAUGCAACAUCAACUAAUUUAUUUGAAUUAGGCUCAUUAAAAGAUAUUUCACAGUUGAGAAACUACAAAAACUAAUGUCCGGCUGGAUUCAUUGUGUAAUACACCUGCUAAAUUUAACAACAUAAUGAAAUGUUAAAUGCAUAAAUCCACGUGCAUAAUAAUUGAUAGUUAAACCUGUUAUAGGGGAGGGAUAGAUUGGGUGGUUUAGAGAAAUAGGUGUAAGUAAAAAGUCUCAAAUUCGAGCCUACUCAUUUAUACUUAAAAAAAAAAAAAAAAAAACUAUUACAGGUAGAGGACUGAAUUGGAUGGUAAGAUGGGAGUAAGUUGCAAACGAAUCAAGCUAUUUGUGAAAGGUAGGAUUAGAUUUGAUAGUGAGAUAGGGGUAGGAUUAGCUAUGUAUGUAUGAAUUUUUUUAUUUUAGUAGUGAAAUUACAUAUAUAUCCAUAAUAUUUUUAUUAUUUAUUAAGAAAAAUAACUAUUAAAAUAAAAUAAUUAUUCUUUAUUUUUUUAAACUCUAAUAGGCUCGAAUUUGAGAUCUACUUUGAACUCAAAUUUUACAUUGAAAGCUCAUCAAAUUUGAGUUCGAAUUUGAUCUUAAUAAAAUUGAGUCAAGACUCGGAUCGAUUAGGCUAAAAUUUGCAGCCCUAGGCGGGAAGGAUUGUAAGUACUUAAGAAAAAAAAAUCCCUGUUAAAACUUAAAAAUAGUGCACGGUUAAUUCACACUAAAUUACAAUCUUUAAAAGGUUGUGCACGGUUUCCUGCCCCUUCUUUCCGUGUGUGAUCUUUGUCCAAGUUUGAAGCUAAAAUGCAAUCAAAACUUUCCUUUGCGCCGUGUAGCUUUUGCCCGACUUUGAAGUUGAAGUGCAAUCAAAACUCUCCUUUUCCAAAUCUUUGCCAUUUACUUUCCUUAUGGUACUCUGCUAUUAAACACCAAUUCCAAGUCGUUAGUGCUUUAGGGCAAAAAGAACAACAGUAAUUGGAUCAAUUAUUCGCAUUUCAAGAUUGAUUCUCUUCAAAGAUUUAUUAAUUUGUUUCACCCAUGACACGCUUUACACUUCUUUCAUAGUUGUCAAGAAGGUUAGAAAAUUAGCAAUUUCUUUUCUUGGGGUACAAUGGAAAAAAAUUUUUAAGAAAAAAAAAAGAUGGGAAACACCUCCAAUUAUUAAAGUGACCGAUCCUUUAAUCACGGAGAACUAAAAUAGAAAACAGAGAACCAAUCAAUCAGAAAACAGCCAUUUUUCCCUCGACGUCAAUGAAGUCAUGUAUUACGACAUAUGACAACCUUCGUAUUCAGGUACGCCCAAUAUCAAGUUUCUUCUAAAGCUUGAUCUUUGAGUAUGUCUUGCAAGCUACUUUUCCUAGACAUUUAACACCUAUCCUUUUCCAGAAAAUAGCAAUUUAAUUGGAACAAGCGAUUCUGCUGUCAAUUUCUAUCCUAAAUAUUCUACGUCUUCUGAUUCGUCAUGUACCAAAUGCACUUGAUUUUCAGAUUUGUUGAAUUUAGCAUUGACUAUAUUACUCUAAGAAGGAAGCAAACUCUGUUGAGCUAUAAACUUUUUCUUCUUUCAAGGUUGAAAAAACAUGCCAAAACUUUAUGGGUUAAUUCUAUAUACAAUGAUAGUAUAUACACUAUUACGAUUAGAUACUUGACAACUAUACAAUUGGAUGCUUUAUGGAUUAAUUCUAUAGGCAAUGAUAGUAUAUACACUAUUACGGUUAGAUGUUUGAGAACUAUACAAUGAUAGUACAUACACUGUUACGGUUGGAUGCUUGACAACUAAUAUGAAUUCUAAUUGUAUAGUUCUCAAGCAUCCAAUUAUAAUAAUAUCGACACUGUCGGUGCAUAUAAGAUUAAUUCAACUUUAUUAUCAAAAUAAUUGUAACGUGCAAACUUGUUUAAAUUCAAAGUUCGCAGGAGAACAAAUCCUUUUUUUUUUUCUUUUUUGGUUUUUGACUCUCGUAUCGUUAAGACUAGCCUCGAGUCCAAUAUCCAAAUGCCCUUGUUUUCUAAAAGUGCAGGUAAUAUGCAUGUUAUUGCAAACCACGAGAUAGUGUUGUUGAAAAAUUAAACCAAGCUUAUUUCAUUUAUUAGUUUAGUUUGUUAGAUUAAAGUAGUUACUAUAAGUAAUUACAUGAUAGAGUAUUAGUCAGUUUCCUAUUAGUAUAUUAGUCGGAUCUGAAGUUUUAUUUUUUUUUUUCAUGGUAGAUUAGGAAAUCUCAAGUCAAUUCCUAGUAAGUUUUGGUUUGUAAUUAUGUUUAUUUUGGAUGUUUUAUAAUCUAUAAAUACUAUUAAUCUAGUACGUUGUUAAUUGAAGAGUUGAGUUGAAUUGAAACAAGUCGUGAGAUAGAGGAAAAGCCUCUAAGAAUUGUUAUUAGUGAGUUGUGGGUAAGUGAAAAGUUGCGACUUGAUUUUGUUAUUAUUAAAUCUAAGAAUUGUUAUUAGUGAGUUGUAAGCGACAGGUUAUGACUAAAUAUUGUUAUUGUUAAGUUUUGAUAAAAUAAAGUUAUUGAGUGUUUAUUAGUGUUUGUUAUCCUCUUCUUUCCACAUAUUUUUAUGCGUGUUAAAAUAGCUUUCGAUGUGCUUGUGCAUUUUUGUGCUAACAAGUGUAUUUUCAUGAACUAAAAGUACUCAUUGUUCUGAAGGACUAAACGAAAUUGCAACAAAUGAGAUUGUUAUUUUGCACAUUUAUUUUGUGCUUAACUAGAGGAUUUUGGAGGUGUCACAUAACUCUCAGUGAUCUCAUAGCACUUGAUUUCACUUUAUUGAAUUAAUACUUCUGGAAGUGAAAGAGUGAUUUUAUUGCAAACUUUACAUUUUCUCCACAGACUAAUUUUCCCAGCGAGGUUCUUAUUGAUAUUCAUUAAUUUUAGAGCUAUCAAAAAAAAAAAUUUUUUUGAAAAGUAACUAAAAUUUCUAUUGCAAAAUGUAGUUUUGCUAAUUGCCGACAAGUCUUCUUUCCCUUGAUUGUCCCUUAUGUUUUGAGACAUCUUUUUGACAUUUUGGAGAUUUUGUCUCCCUCCCCCAAAAGACAACAAAAUCUCUUUCACCUAACUUUUGCCAUACAAUGAUGUUAACUACUAUUCCACUUUGACUAUUUUUUGAAUAGUUGAUCUAAUAAAUGUUGCUUCCAUUAAAUGCUUUAGUAUGGAAUAGACUUCUCUCCAUUUUUCCUCAAUACACCCUUAGAUGAUUGCCACAUGGAUUCCCACAUUCUGCUUUGGUUAUUACCUACUGAAAGAUUGUUUAUGGUGUCAAAAACAAAAAUCUCUUAAUUGCGUGCAUACUUUUCAACAACUUAUUUUGUUUUAUUGUCAUUUUUAAUCUACCAAAAAUUGAAUGAAAUUAGGUUUUUGGUUAUAUCCACUCUUAGAUUUAAAAUCUCAAUUAAUUACAAUUGCAUGAGUUUAGGCAUUCUCUUCCUAAACAUGCGAAAUGAACAUUUACAACUAACAAACUAUGCUAUUUUAUAGUUGUGUACUUCGACUUGAUUUUAACCAACUGUCAUAGAGUAGUUGACCACUAAGAAAGAUUUAAAAUUUUACUUAGGUAUAGGUUAAGGGAUACAUUCUAAAAAUCUAAAGUUCCUGAAAAACACCCAUCUGAAUCGGUGAUGAUUCAGCUUCCCGUUCCUCCUUGUUCUCUUUGGGUCACCUCCUCCCCUGGCAAAAAAGAGUAGGUAGAAAAAUGAGUGGUUCACUUAAAUUUCAUAUGUUACUCGUGUUCAAGCCUUUAUCUUUUUUUCAAGCCUUCAAGCUCUAGUUCCCACUCGGCCCCUUUAGGUCACCCCCUCCCCUGGCAAAAAAACAAAGGAGUUGACCUUGAAUAUGUCCAAAAUUUGUUUUCUUAGGACAAUAAGAAAGAGUAGGUAGAGAAAUGAGUGGUUCACUUAAAUUUCAUAUGUUACACAUGUUCAAGCCUUCACCAUUUUUUCUUUCUCUACGUACGAUUUAGAAUCUUCUUUAGAAAAAAAAAUAUUAAUCAUAUCAUAAUAUAUAUUUAUAUGAAAAUAAUAUAUUUUUAUCAAUAAAUAGAAGUUCAUUUAAAUGUUAAUAACAUUUCUAUCAAACAAAUUUAGAAAAAUGAAAUAGAAAGAGGGAAGUAAUGCAACAUCAACGAAUUCAUUUGAAUUCGGCUCAUUAAAAACUAUUUCAUGGUUGAGAAACUACAAAAAACUAAUGUCCAGCCGGAUUCAUUGGUAAUACACUCACUAAAUUUAACUCCAUAAUGAAAUAUUAAAUGCAUAAAUCCAUGUGCUUGAUUAUUGAUAGUUAAAUCCUAUUACGGGAAAGGAUGGGUUGGGUCAUUUAAGAAAAGGGGGCAUAAAUGCAAGGUCACAUAUAAGAACCCUCUCACUUAUACUAAAAGAAAAAAAAAAUUUCUAUUAUAGGUGAAGGGUUGGAUUGGAGGGAAAGGUGUGAGUAGGCUAUAAACGAAUCAAAUUACUCGCGAAAGGGAAGAUUGGAUGACAAUUAGGUUUGAUGGUAAGGUGGGAGUAAGCUACAAACGAAUCAAGCUACUCGCAAGUAGGUUUGAUCAAAGUUUGAUUUGACUUCGACGAAGUCGAGCUAUCGAACUUGAGCUGACCAAAAUUUGUUUUCUUAGGAUCACAAGAAAGAGUAGGUAGAGAGAUGAGUGGUUAACUUAAAUUUCAUAUGUUACUCCUUAUUUUGAUCCAUUGCUCAAAAGUAUAGCUUCCUUGCUCUAGGGCCCGUAGGCUUUAUUAUUAUUAUUAUUAUUAUUAUUAUUAUUAUUAUUAUUUUGGGGUUGUGAUUACAAGUAGACCACAAUUUGUGGAAUCGUUACUGUGGUUUUGUACAAAGCGUGUGGUGAUGAGGAAGACCUCAUUAGUAUUCCCAUUUGGAUAAAAUAUUAUAUUCAAUUGCAAUUAGACAUCUUGAUUAGACUGUUAAGUGCUAUAAUUAAAUGAAAAUAAUUGGCACACAAUUCAGAAUUCUAAUGCAACACUUACAAGUAACAAUUUCCUGGAUUUAUGAGAUUGCUUCCCUAAGCAAAAAUCCUAGCUGCAAAACCGUUGCUAUGAGUAUUCGGUAAUCAUAUAGCAGAAAAUAAGCGAACAGCUCCAUGAAAUUAACUUUUCAUUAAAAGUAUAAGUGGGAAAUUAACCAAGUAAAAUAUCCUUAAAAUACUUAUUUGGAAGCGCUGUUUGGGAAGUAACAAUCCGAAUAAUAUUGGGAAGUAACAAUCGAUUCCACCUCUCGAAUCCCUUUAAAAAGGCUAUUUCACUACUAAUUUCAAAUUUCAAAAUAUCAAAUUAAAGGGUUUUUAUACUUCUCACGAACCUCUAAUAAAAUUUUUUAUAAUAUUUUUUUAAAAGGUGGAACGAAGAAAAAGUUAUCCUUAUAAGUUUCAAUGUAUAGAGAAGGAAAUUGAAGGAGUUUUUGAAAUGAGUUUGUCUGUUUGAGACUUGAAAUUAUAUUAACAAAAAGAUAGAAAGAAGAAGAAUAUAGAUAAAAUGAGACUUUUAUUUAUUUAUAUUUAUUUUUAAGGUUGUUGACUUAAGUUGUGGGGCAAAUCAAGCAAAUGUAAAAAUAUUAAAGGUUGUGAGGGCAAUUAUCUACAAAUGUGGGGGCAAUUAUAAUUUUUAUGGUAUUCAACCUAUCAUUCCAAGUUUUCAGUAUCAUAUAGGUUAGUUAAGAGAAAUAUCCAACUUACCAUUCCAAAUUUUGAGUGUCAUAGUUAAACAAAAAAAAAUUAGACAUAUAUCUAACCUGUCGUUCCAAUUUUUAACAUGUUAUAUUAUUGAUAGGAGUCUUCACAAAUCUAUUUGAUUGUGGAAGGAACAAAAACUAGUUGGAAAGGAGUAAAUUAGUGACUCUUUAGAUGAAAUUCUUUAAUGAGGUGAAUUCUCCAAAAAAUUCCAUUUUGCUAAUUAUUGAUUUCGUUAGAUUUAGAUAUAUCCGGUCGAUCCUACCACAAGCUCAAGCAUAUGUGAAUUUUAUUGGUCCCCUAGCAAUGCUACAAGAGGUAAAUGACAAACAAUGAGUUGUUAUUCUGCCACAUUUUCUUUAUUCUAAAUGCUUAACACAUUUUCUUUAUUCUAAAUGCUUAUGUAAACCUGAAUUCUAUUGGUUCCCUCACAUUAGUAAAUUGUAGGUAAAUGACAAAAAAUACAAGUUAUUAUGUAAAAGUGCUUGUUGAAAGGUAGUAAAUCAUCUACAUGAGGUAAAUUGUAGGUAAACUACAAAGAAUGAGUUGUUAUGUAAAAAUACAUGGGUUGUGUUUAGAUUGUGAUUCUUUUAGAAAAAAAAAGCUAUAGGAUUAUUGCUUAAACAUGUUUUCCAACCGUCUUUUAUCUUACAUACAUCACAUCUCAAAAUAUAUUAUAACCAAUAAAACAAAAAUUUAAAUUGUAAACUGCCACAGUUUCUUUAUCCUAAUACUCAAGUAAACCUGAAUUUAAUUCUCCCCUCACAUUAAUAACAUGAGGUAUUUUGUAGGUAUAUGACAAAGAAUGAUUACUAUGUAAAAGUACAUGGGGUAUUCUUGAAAUUCAAAAAAAAAAAAAAUUUACGAGCAAUAAUACAAAAUUUUUUUCCAAAUAUAAAUAAGUAUAAGGUUAACAACCAAAGAUAAAUUGCAGGUAAAUCACAAAGAUGAGUUGUAAUGAUAAUAAUAAGGAUUAAUUUUCUAUACAUCGAUAGCGUAUAAACUAUUAUCGUCGAAUGCAUGCAUGACAACUAAUUUAAAUGUAAAUUUUAAAUUUUAUAUAUAUGUCAUAUAUAUAAUCGUAAUAAUAUAUACUCCAUAUUGUAUAUAAGCUAGUGGUGAGUGAAAGGCUGUUAUAGUCUUUUUUGCUGUCAUGUCUAAGGUUCGAAUCUUGUGUCUGACAAUUGAAAGUGGAAGGGCGUAAUAGCAUAGGUGAGAGGGUUGUAAAAAAAAAAAAAGAUUAACUCGAAUAAUAAAUGACUAAAAUGAAUUUAUAAGGUUGAGAUUUUUUUCUUUUGUCUCUUUUUUUUUUUAAAAAAAAUAAUGGGUAGGUUGAUGACCUAUGCAAAGAAAAAGAAAGUAAAAAGAAAACGUUAACAUUCAUCACGUUUAAAAGCAUGCCAAAUUACACAACCAAUGGGAGAAAUACACUACUACUGCUAGAGACUAGACUGCCGUGGCUCUCUUAUCCUCCAUUCUCCCCCAUUCGUCCAAAUCCAAAUGAGGAUGUUGGCAUUUUUGGACAAUUCAAAUUUGGCAGGACAGGAUUCUAAAAUAUUUUCUUCAGUUCAAUUCAUGGCGGGGCGAUGCCUAUAAAUAGUAGUCCGACACCCGGCCUUUUAUUGUGCAUUAUCCUUAGUUGUUGAUUCAACCACACGUCAACCUAACGGUGAGACCAUUUCUUUAUCAUUAUCGUUUAUCUGAUCCAAAGCUCUGAAGACUUUUCGAUUCCCGAUGCCCCAUCAAUCCGUCCGUGUUAUUUUAUUACUUUAGUAUUUUCAAUCUCCAUCGUCUUGAAGAAAUUUAUUGGCCGUCAAUAUUUUAUUUUUCUUAUUUCUAUUUUGCUUGGCUCUUAAUUUUGCUUGGCUCUUACAAUACGCAAGCAAAACGAAUUAGGUUCUUGUUCUGUUCAUACCUUCUUUCACCUGCAAUUUUCCGGGAACUUCUAUUUCUGGGAAAAUUUUCUUUAUUUUGAUCCAACAAGAUUAUUUUUUGGAAAUAUUGAGUUGAUUCGAGGACCCAUUUGGUUAUUGAUAAAAGGGUCGUUUUCAAAAUUGAAUCUUGGGGGUUCCAUCUGGACAUUGUUUUUGAUUAGUUUUCCUGGAAAGCUCUAGUUCCUGGAAGAAUUUCAGUGCUUCAAGGUGUAACUGAAAGACCCUUUUGGCUGCUGAUGAUAUCUUGAGGCUGAAUUUCUCAAAUUCGCAUGCCCCCAAGAGGUUGGAAUCUUUUUCUUUGACUUUCCUCAACAUAUUUAGCUUGAUGAAGUUCUAGUGUAACUUUAGGUUAUUUGUUUAUCGAUUCCCAUCCUUAUUCUUCAAAAUUUGUCAAUUUGAUUAGAAAAGCAGUACCCAGGCUUCUCUGUAUUAUAGAUAAUUCAGCUUCUUUAAUCGGAAUUGGAUUGUUUAUAACCCAAUAGAAAAACAAAUUCUCGGGAUAAACUUCUCUCCGCUUAGGUAUGGAUAUAAGCAAUGAGGCAAGGGUUGAUGCUUUCUCCAUUGGACCUUCAAGUAUUAUGGGAAGGACCAUUGCUUUUAGAGUCUUAUUUUGUAAGUCAAUCUCACAUUUGAGGCAUCAACUGAUUCAUAUGUUGUUAGUAUAUUUGUACAAAGCUAAGGGGUAUUUGAAUACCUACUUGACCCCUUUGAUCUCGUGGCUUCAUCCGCGGAACCCACAAGGGAUAUUAGUAUUGGUGACAUUAAUAGCUUUCUCAUUGAAAAGAUACACUAACUUGAAAAUGAGGGCUGAGGUGGCUUAUAGGAGGAAGUUUUGGAGGAACAUGAUGAGAACUGCCUUGACCUAUGAGGAAUGGGCUCAUGCUGCUAAGAUGCUGGAUAAAGAAACCACUAAAAUGAAUGAAGCUGAUCUGUAUGAUGAAGAACUUGUAAGGAAUAAACUUCAAGAGCUUCGGCAUCGUCGCCAAGAGGGGUCUCUCAGGGACAUUGUAUUUUGUAUGAGAGCUGACCUUGUUCGGAAUCUUGGCAAUAUGUGCAAUCCAGAGCUUCACAAGGGUAGGCUUCAUGUUCCUAGACUUAUAAAGGACUAUAUAGAUGAAGUCUCAACUCAGUUGAGGAUGGUUUGUGACUCUGAUUCAGAGGAGCUUUUAUUGGAGGAGAAGCUUGCUUUUAUGCAUGAGACGAGGCAUGCCUUUGGUAGGACAGCUUUGCUUUUAAGUGGGGGUGCUUCUCUUGGAGCAUUCCACAUAGGUGUGGUCAAAACAUUGGUUGAACACAAGCUUAUGCCACGGAUAAUUGCAGGGUCCAGCGUUGGAUCCAUUAUGUGUUCUGUUGUUGCAACAAGGUCUUGGCCUGAGCUGCAGAGUUUCUUUGAGGAUUCCUGGCACUCUUUGCAAUUCUUUGAUCAAAUGGGAGGAAUAUUUACAGUUUUUAAGAGAGUAACGACCCAAGGUGCUGUUCAUGACAUCAGACAAUUGCAAAUGAUGUUAAGACAUCUUACGAACAAUCUAACUUUCCAGGAGGCCUAUGAUAUGACUGGCAGGAUUCUAGGUAUUACAGUUUGCUCCCCAAGGAAGCAUGAACCUCCUAGAUGCCUCAACUACUUGACUUCACCUCAUGUUGUUAUAUGGAGUGCAGUCACAGCUUCUUGUGCUUUUCCUGGCCUUUUUGAAGCUCAAGAGCUGAUGGCGAAAGAUAGAAGUGGAGAGAUCGUUCCUUAUCAUCCACCAUUUCAUUUAGGACCUGAGGAGGGCUCUGGUACAUCUGCACGUCGAUGGAGGGAUGGUAGUUUGGAGGUGGAUUUACCCAUGAUGCAGUUGAAAGAGCUUUUCAAUGUUAACCAUUUUAUUGUCAGUCAAGCAAAUCCUCAUAUUGCACCUUUACUGAGAAUUAAGGACUUAGUAAGAGCCUAUGGAGGCAAUUUUGCUGCAAAGGUUUGUUGUCUCAGUCUUUAUUAUUUGCUUUGCAGUCAGUUUUGAUAGGCCAAAUGAAAGCCAUUUUUCAAAUUUCUAGAAGAGAUACUGUAGUUAUCAUUACUACACUUUUAGGUGGUCUAUCCUGUUAUCCAUUUUCUUAUUUAUUAACAAUUAUGCUGCAACGACUUGACAUGUCAAUGUAAUUAUGACUGUCUAGCUUGCUCAUCUGGUGGAGAUGGAGGUGAAACACAGAUGCAAUCAAACACUGGAACUUGGUUUCCCACUGGGGGGAUUGGCCAAGCUGUUUGCUCAGGAUUGGGAGGGCGAUGUGACUGUCGUUAUGCCAGCAACUCUAGCUCAGGUACAUAAAGAUAUUUCUCCACUUUAAACUUAGGGAAGUGUUACUCUUACCAGGAGUGAAGAAUAAGACUCUUCCAGAGACUAAACCCAAUUCCCUUCCCAAAAAAAAAAAAAAAUCCCACCGCCCACCUGCCAACAACAGCAAAAGCAAGGAGCUUAUUCAGAAUAACACAUUAUUGAGAAAUUUUGAGAAUUAUACUCCAUCAUCAAACAGGAUGAAAAGAUAUAUUCACUUUCCAAUUCUUGCCUCUCCAUGUAAUGGUUUUAAGUGUUUCAUUCAAGAUGUAGUUCUCCUAAGAAUGCAGCUAGGUAGUAGCUGGCUUACAAGAACUGAUCGGCUAGCUCAUUACACCAUAUAGUUUUUUCUGGGUGAUUCAAUUCCAUUACUUCUCUACACCUGGGUGUUAGUUUGUCUGUUCUAGAUAGUUGGGAAUGUUGUUUUCAAUCCUUUUAGACCAUGAAUUGUCAUUCGUCUUUUUUAGGCUGAUUUGUGAUUAUAUAUGAAUGUAAUUUCUUUAGAGCGUUGCACGAGAGGUGCUUAUAUCCGUGAUCUGGAUAAGAUUUUGUUGUAGUUAUCCAAAACCAUCAAGUUUACUGGAUUAGCAACCCUGUAUCAAUUAUUUGUAGAUUAAUUUUUUUCUUUUGAAAAAGACUAAACUUGAGCAUAUGCGGUUAACUCUUUUCUUUAUUCUUUCAGUAUUCAAAAAUCAUUCAAAAUCCCUCUAAUGUGGAGAUUCAGAAGUCAGCCAACCAGGGAAGGAGGUGCACUUGGGAGAAGCUGUCAGCAAUAAAAGCAAACUGUGGAAUUGAGCUAGCUCUUGAUGAGAGUGUUGGUAUACUUAACCACAUGCGAAGGCUCAAAAGGAGUGCUGAAAGAGCUGCUGCUGCUUCGCAUGGAUUGGCCAGCACAGUCAGAUUCAAUGCAUCCAAAAGGAUCCCUUCUUGGAACUGUAUUGCACGAGAGAACUCAGCAGGAUCCCUAGAGGAAGAUCUACUUGCUGAUGUUGCUUCCUCGUUUCAUCAUGGUGGCAGUGGAUCGGCAGGACCUACUGGGAGAAAUUGGCGAGCCUGCCGAAACACACACGAUGGAAGUGAUAGUGAGUCUGAAAGUGCUGAUCUCAAUUCUUGGACAAGAUCUGGUGGCCCCUUGAUGAGGACGACCUCAGCUGACAAGUUUAUAGACUUUCUCCAGAAUUUGGACAUUGAUAGCAGGUUGAACAGAGGAAUGGUGGUUCAACCUGGCAGCGCAGUGACCCAGAUGGGUGGCAGAGAUGGACUACAUCAAGUCUCAUGGACAACGACUCCAGAUAGAAAUUUGGAGACAGAAUUUGAUCAAAGAGAGUUUGGUUCCAGAGUUCCAACCACUGGUUCUAGCAUUAUGGUAGCUGAGGGUGACCUGUUGCAGCCUGAAAGAAUACGCAAUGGAAUUAUGUUCAAUAUUGUGAAGAAAGAAGAUCUAACACCAACAACCAGGAGUCGUGAAUCAAGUAUUAGUUCUCCACGUGAUUCACCGCAUGAUCCACUACCUGAAUGUGUGCAACUUGAAUGUCUAGAAACAGGACUGGAUUCUAGCUCAGUAUCUGAAUCCGAUGAUGAUCCUGGUGAAGUGGAAAAUAAUCUAAACGAACACGAUGCUGAUUGUGUCCCUGAUAAUCAUCCUAAUGUAGAUCAAGGUAACAGCUAGUAUGGUGUAGUUGUAUCAGCUACCUUGAUGAUGUAAUACUGGAGUUUACAGAUUCGACUUUAGCAGAAUCUUACUCAGAUGAAAGCAGAAAAGAAUAGAAAUUUGUGAAUCAGCAUUUGUCAUUGUGCUAGAGCUUAUUCCAAUGAGAUGGCACUUGUAUAUAAGCUGUAAAACUGUGAAUAGAAUUACUAGCAGGAUCUGGAUUUAUGCUUGGUUGUACUAAAUCAAAGUUGUAAUGGUUUCUCUUGUUGUUCCACCGGUAUGAGAAGUUCUUCUUUCUCCAUGUCAAGUAUGAGGACAACUUUGAAAAUGUGUUUAUGAACUUUUUCUGAUUUCAUAGUGCCUCUCAACCCUUUUUUUUUUUUAAUAUAAUUUUUGAAAUUUGUCCAAAUAUUAGUUGGGCAGAAGGCAAGCAAGUCAAUGUAGAAUUAUCUAUUAUCGAAUUUAUCCUAGAAGCUAGAUGGUUGCAAUUAUUAACCUUCUCGUCAUGUUUCUGGUAUCAAACUUUCUUCAGGAAAAAUCAAACAAACAAAAAAAGUUUCUGAAACUGGAGCAAAAAUCUUCAGCAUUAUGAAACAGUUUGCAUUUGCCGGCAAAUACAGCUGUUUCUAUACUGAUUCGUCAUUUUUCUAAAAGAAUCUCAGAAAGUGUUCUUCUGUCAUCUUUUAGAGAAUAGAUUGUAGACUUUUUGAACAUACUGAUGGAUUUUACUAGCAUCUAAAAUCCCCAUUAGUGAGUCAAAAUGCUUGCUACUAUUUAGGUGGGAUAUUAUCUCUGUUACAGGUUCAAUAACCAAUGAUGCAUACCUAACUAUAUAGCUACUAAUGCUUGUCUAAAUUUCCUACAACAGUUAGCUAAAAUCUCCAGAGUUCACUAUGCUGUUGAUUUUCCGCAGCAGACAGCCUGGGAAAUGACCAGUAACUUGAUAAUGCUUACAAUCUUGUAAGUAUAUUUGCCAAAAUUUCCACUUUUUUCACUUGCCAAAAACUAGCCACUAAUGGGGAAAUGUUGCAAGCUCGGUAAAGAAGGAAUUAUGGUUGGCUGUUGAACCCUGCUAAUGCCUAAUUGCAGUUGGGAAUUCACAUAUUUUAUUUUGGCCUUCUAAUAAGCUUGAAUACCUGGACAAAAAUUGUUGCAAGUCUGCAAGGUAAGCUUUCUGUCGGAAAUGCCUGCCUUCUCCUACCUUUGAUGAUGACCCAGAAAGAAACUUGCAAAGUAAAGAAAUGGGGGAAGUCUGUCAGACAACCGCCACCCAGCAGAUGCCGAAGCAAAGGCCGGGAACAAUCGAUCCUCUACUGCCCCAGCAGCCUGGAAACCGAAUUGCAGGCAUGGUUCAAAUACUCGGCCAGGUGUCACCGGAAUGGGACUUUCCGAUCCAAUACCGGGACAAAAUGAUUUUGAGAUAAUGAAUUGUCAAGAACUGGAUCGAAUAAUCGAGAACACGGUCGAGAUAUCUCUGAAAUGGAUAGAAAUGACCAAAUCGGCCCGAGACAUUUCGAGUCAACUCGAAUUUUUAUUAUUUUUGCUAAUUUAUUUUAUUAUUUUUAUUUGUCACAUUUUUUAAAUAAUUUUUAGAAUAUUAAAUAUUUCAAAAAUUUACAUCUCACUAAAACCGUGACCGACUGAUAUGUCGAAAUUAAUAUAAGACGGUUUGAGCCAUGACUAUGACCGUAACUUUGAACCAUGAUUGCAGGAUGCUCCGUCAAGGGGCAUAUUUCAUCCACCGGACUUGGCUUCCUGUCUCCUAACAACUCAAGGACACAGAUAAAGUUCAUUCUUGUUCACAAUUCAGGAAAUUAAACGCAAUGGAAUGUGCACAAAAAAAACACAAUUUUCCAUCUGAUGACAUUGUUGAUCCUAUCUUCACCCCCUAAUCCCCUUUUUUCGAUUGUAAGGAUAAUAUGAUUCCCCAAUUACAUUUAAUUAUAGGUCGAAUUAAGACAAGUUUAGGUACACAACACUACAAUGAAUUUAGACUUUACAUACCCUCAAAAAAAAAAAAUAUAUAUUAUAUAUAUAUAUAUGGACUUUACAUCCCUCUCAACACACUGUUCAUUAGGGGCUUGAGUCCCUCCUUGGUGGCCACUGAGCCAUUGGCCCAUAGGGUAUAGAUGAAAUACUAGGAAAUUGCUUUGCCUGAUGAAAAGGUGUAGUGGUACAUGUUAUGAAAUACAAAAUUUGCCUCUCUUAUUUACUGAAGAAAUAUAGUAUGAUUUAUCAAUUAUAUAUCUUGAUAGAGAACUCUGACUUGACCUUUUUCAACAAGUUCCGUUUUAAUAUUCCAUUUCAGGAUAAUAAACUUUUUCCUUGAUUCACGUUUCCUAAUAGUUCAGUUUUAUUUCUUUAUUUUUUUCCUUUCCUUUUUACAAUAAACUGUUCUGCUUUACCAUGAUGCUUAUUUUCUUGAUUUGGCCUCUUUUAAGUUUGUAUUUUUGCUAUAACUAGAAUCAUAGCACUCAAGAAAUAGCCUCAUAUAUAAAACAUUAAAGCUGACAAGUGGGAAAAGCCCCACUCUAUUUUAGUUCAUCUCGUUUUCGACUUUGCUUCAGUUGCUUGCAUAUGUAUAGUUGUAUUCAAGAUCAAGAAGGCGCCUUUUUUGUGGUUUCAAAAGACAGAUAAAACUGUCAAGCCCAACUUCUAAUUGUAAUCACAGCUUGUCCACAAUUCAUCCAAGAUUCGUCCUUUUCGUGCCAAUGGAAUCCUUUCGCUUCAUUUAUGCUGUUUUCCACAUCCCAAAGUUCCACUCCAUUCAGCCCAUAAAAGUUCUGAGCUUUUACUUCCCACCAAUCUCUUAAAACUUCGCCAUUAUCACCACCUGACAAUCCCGCUUUCCUCACAAUUUGAUUCAUGUAAAGACCUUAAAAGCCUAAAAAAAUCCAUUCUUCUCUAAUAGUCUCAAAUGGGAUUGUUUGUGAUGAACCCGACUACGAAAUUGCUGAAAAGUUGAUUUCUUUAUACACUAACUUCGAUGAUUUUGAUAGUUUAUUGGCAAUAUUAAAGUCUAUAAAAAGACCCAAUUCUACUCUUCUGUGGAAUAUGGCUCUGAAAUCUCUUGUUAAUUCAGGACUUAGUGAAUUUGCAAUUUGGAUUUAUAAGCAAAUGAGAGAAAUGGGAGUUGAACAUGACAGUUAUACAUUUCCAAUAUUGAGCAAAGCAGUUUUCUUGGUGGAUUUCGAAGCUUUUUGGCUGGGAAAACGAUUCAUGGCUUAGCUAUGCAAAUGGGUUUCGGAUGUGAUGUUUACUUUUGUAAUACGAUGAUUGCGGUUUAUAGUAAAAGUGGGCGUUUUGGAGAUGCUUGCAAGUUGUUUCAUGAAAUGCCUGACAGAGAUAUUGUUUCUUGGACAGCAAUGAUUUCGGCUUACGUUCGUGAAGACAAUUUUUUCGGGGCUUUUAGAUUGUUUGGGAAAAUGCAAAAUGAGGUGGAACCCAAUGCAGUGACAAUGUUAGGCCUGCUGCAAGGAUGUCCUAGUAUGGUCGAAGGGAGACAACUUCAUGGAUAUAUCAUUAAAAAUGGGUUAUUGCAUGAUCGCUCUGUGGAAAAUUCGCUGUUGAAUAUGUAUAGUCACGUUGAUAGUGUUUCUGAUGCUGAAAUUCUUUUUGGAGAAAUAGAUAAAAGGGAUGUAGUUACUUGGAAUAUAAUGUUGUCAUUGUACACUUAUAAAGGAGAUAUUACGAGGAUGAUUGGUUGUUUUCGACAAAUGUCUGGUGAAGUAGAUCCUAGCUGCGAGACGUUGACUGUGUUUGUUUCAGGGUUAGCAGAAUGUGGAUAUCUAUUUGAAGGUAGACAAAUACAUUGUCUAGCUUUGAAGAAGGGACUUUUUGAUGAUAAAUUGAGGGCUUGUUUGUUGGAUUUCUAUGCAAAGCAUCGGGAGGUGGAUAUAUCUGCUAAGCUAUUUGAAGAAGUUCAUUACAGAAACUCUAUCACUUGGAAUACUAUGAUGCUGGGGUUUAUUGAAAAUGGGCUGUUUAAAGAGUGUAUUGCAUUGUUUAAGCAAAUGCUACUUGUAGGUGUUCGGCCAGGUGCUGAAAUACUGAGAACUCUUAUUCUUGCUUAUACCCACAUGGGGGCAGUACAAUUGGGCAAAGGGAUACAUGGAUACAUUAUAAGGAAGUCAUUUGUUGAGUCUGGUGCUGCUAUAACGGCCUUGGAAACUUCUAUCUUAAAUAUGUAUCUUAGAUGUGGAAGUCUUUCUGCUGCAGGCGUUUGCUUUGACAGAAUGGUAGGUAAAGACCUUGUGGCAUGGACAUCAAUGAUUGAGGGCUAUGGAAUGCAUGGAUUGGGUUUUCAAGCAUUAGAACUAUUUCAGAAAAUGGUGGAGGAAGGAUUAAAGCCGAACGACAUGACCUUCUUAAGCAUACUAUCUGCUUGUAGCCAUUCCGGCCUAUUAAGUGAAGGCUGCCAGAUUUUAUAUUGCAUGAGAUCAAAAUUUUCUGUUGAACCUAAUUUGAACCAUUACACCUGCAUUAUCGAUAUGUUAGGUCGGUCUGGAAUGAUAAAAGAAGGCCUGUCUCAUUUUUAAAUUGGUUCCCUUUCCAGAUGGUCGGAUUUUUGGUGCACUUCUAGCCGCCUCUAGAGUUUACAUGGACAAAAAAGUUGCUGACUAUGCAGCAAAUAGGCUCCUGGAAUUAGAACCUGAUAAUGCUGGAUACCACACCCUUAUCAGCAAUGUAAAAGCAAGUGCAGAGAAGUGGUUUGAAGUUGAAGAUUUCAGGAGCACAAUAAAAUCCAAAGAUUUGAUGAAGCUACCUGGUUGGAGCUGCAUAGAAGCAAAGGGGUUUCUUCACGGUUUUGUCUCAGGAGACAGAUCACAUCCUUAUGCGGAUUGCAUCCAGCAGACGUUAGAAAUCUUGAACAGAACCAUGCAAGAUGUGCUUAUGUAGGCUACAAACAUGUACAGCUGAGUUGAUGCUUCUUAUAAUGAAAGAAAUAAACUUGCAUUCCACUUCUGUUGCUUGCAAUGCUUGUUGGAUACAAAUACUUCGUUACUCCUCCAAGCUGCAAAUCUGAUUCAUAAUCCACCAAACCAUCACUAAUUAGCUUUGAAUAUCUGAUCAAAAGUUUGACACACUAAAAGCUACUAACAAGCAAAUCUGAAUCAUAAUUCAUACCAACAAAAAGAAAAGCUUGAAACACCAAUAAUUCAAACUCUCUCCAAGCUGCAAAUCUGAUUAGUUUUGAAUAUUUGAUCAAAAGUUUGACACACUAAGAGCUACUAACGAGCAAAUUUGAAUCAUAAUUCAUACCAACAAAAAGAAAAGCUUGGAACACCAAUAAUUUAACAAAAGGGUAGUGGGAGAAGUCUGUCAGACAACUGCAAGACCACCCUAGUCCAUGGCAAAGCAAGAACUAGGAACGAUCCUCUACUGCACUGUGGCCCCAACCAGGCUGCAAGAGCUGUUAAUCACGCUCUGGUCAAGCAGUCAUAUUUCAUCCACCAGACUUGGUUUCCUGUCUCCUUAGAACUCAAGGACACAGAGGUACGAGCCUAUAGAACAGAUCCUGUUCAAGUAAGGUCGUGCCAUGUGUCCUUCGGCUUUUCUUAUUAGUAAUGUGCAUUUAUUAUGCGUUUUUCCGAUGUGGGACAAAUCUUGAAAGAGUAUGGGGGCAGUCUCGUAAUUUGACAGAGGUUCCUUAACACGGCUGGUGAGAUCUCUUUCUUUUCUUUCUCGAUCUCAACCAUGUUUUCGGAGACUGACUACGUUGGCUAAAUUCUCUGCUCAAAUUUGACUCCAAGCCCACGUCUUUAAAGGAGAAAGAGGUGAGAAAGAUGGCGGGUCAUGGCCAGAGCCAGGGGCAGAUAAGCAUGAAUAUAAGGGCCUUUGAUUGGAAGGUUGGGCAGAUGAUAAUGGUGACCCUUUUAGUGAUGAUAGGUUCAUUUUACACCGGCACCCUUUUCGGCCGGAGCGGCAACGCGGGCGGCGGGGGCAAUAUCAAUUUCAACGAUGUCCCACUUGAAGAGCAGCUUCAAUCUUCCAAUACUACAGCAUUGCUGCCAUCCUCUGGUUAGGUAGAACUUUCUUGAUUUUUCUUUAUCUAUUCUAACUCAAGCAAGGUUGUACAUAUUUGUUUGGGGGAUUAUCCAUUAUGCUAAUUAAGAAGUUUGUGUAUAGGUUUCUUUUAGCUUAGAUUUUGUAGGACCCGAUUUGGCAGAGCUGGAUUCUUGAUUUAGAUUCUGGGGGAGUGCAGUUAGUGAAACUGGGGUACAAGAAAUAGAUAGCCAUUUUAGAGGGCUGUGGUAUUAAGUGAGAUAGUGGCAGUUUAGUCGAAUUUAUGUAUUUGAGGGCUACUUGAUGGUAGAAUUUUAAUUGAGAAAAGGGGAAGUUUGAAGUGGAAUUCAAAAAUAUAAAAUCUCUUUCCAAUUUUGAAGUCAAUGUGAUGUUGGGGGAUUAUUUCGGUAUGAAAUCCUGCGACCGAAUCAGUGCUUAGAGUUCAACUAUUUUGAGCAUAGCUUAUGUAAUUGACUCUGUUGCAGUGGUUUGUCAGAGGGUGGAAUGCUGAGGUGGAUUGGGUUCUUGUUUAUCUGCACAAAAGUAGUUUGAGUUUUUAGUAUGUUAUUGUUUCUUUUCUUGUUAAUACUUUGGCAUAGAAAAUUAUACUUCCAAAAUGUUUCAGCAUGUGAGGGUUUUGGAGAAUUUUGUGAUUGUUGGUUAUGUUGAUACAAGGAUAUUGAUUCUUUAAGAGGUAGAUAUGAAGUUCUAUUCUUGCUUGUAUAUCCUUUCAUAUCUCUAUGAUUCAGACAGAUUGGAUCUCUCUGAUAUAAAUAUCCUGUCUUUAUUGGAAAAUAAAGUAAAGAAUUUGCUAUGAGAAAAAAGUGACAUAUCAAGGAUGUGCAAUCAUUGUGCUAGAAACCAAAUGAAUUGUCUUUGACUGCUUCUGGAGAUCUAUCAAUGUACUUCCAAUACAUUAUUUCUGUGCUUGCAGGAGGGCCUGAGUUCACAAAUAAAGUAACUCUUUCUUAUCGCACAAUACCACUUACCAUCCCAGAAACCGGGAUAAAUGUCUGCCCAAUAACAUUCAAUGAGUACAUUCCCUGCCAUGAUCCAGCAUAUGUUGAAGAAUUGUUGCCAAAAUUAGAUCUGUCAAGGAGAGAAGAGCUGGAAAGGCAUUGCCCUCCACUUAAUAGGCGCUUGUUUUGUUUGGUGCCUCCUCCUGCUGAUUACAAGCAGCCCAUAAGGUGGCCAACCAGUAGGGACUAUGUUUGGCGAAGUAAUGUGAAUCAUACUCAUCUUGCUGAGGUGAAAGGGGGACAGAACUGGGUGCAUGAGAAGGAUCAAUUUUGGUGGUUUCCAGGUGGUGGUACUCAUUUUAAGCAUGGGGCUUCUGAGUACAUACAGAGGUUAAUGCCGUUUUACUUUGUUAAACUGCAUUUACUUCUGCCUUUCAAGUUUUAUUCCCCAUAUUCACAACAUUUGUAUUUAGCAAUCCCCCACUUCAUAGGCAAAGAGGAAAAUUAGAUGCUAGCUUCAAACGUAGUUCCAUCUAUAAGCGUAGGAGAACUGUAUGAUUUACUAUUGUUACACUUUUAACUGCAUUUUAUCAAAUGGUUCCGCUUCCCCCCUCCCCCCCCCCUAAAGUAUAUAUGUGAGGCUAUACACUUUGGGAAGCUUAGUCAUGGCUGACCCUGAAACAUUGAUCCCUCAUCUAAGUUUGUUGUACUUGAUCAUGUCAAACUUCUUAGGCUUUUGUCCUGGCAGGCAAUUACCUUAAUUCAUAUCUGAAAAGCAUUUCUCUUUUCAUUAUUAUGUUGUUCAUGCAGGUUGGGAAAUAUGACUACAAAUUACACAGGUGACCUGCGUUCUGCAGGAGUAUAUCAGGUACUGGAUGUUGGCUGUGGUGUGGCUAGCUUUUCUGCCUAUCUUCUGCCCUUAAAUAUACAAACCAUGUCCUUUGCUCCCAAAGAUGGCCAUGAAAAUCAGAUCCAGUUUGCGUUGGAACGAGGAAUCGGUGCAAUGAUAUCUUCUUUAUCCACAAAACAGCUACCAUAUCCCACUAGCUCUUUUGAAAUGAUUCACUGUUCUAGAUGCCGGGUUGAUUGGCACGAGAAUGGUAAAUUUUGAGUGUCAUAUAAAAUCACAAGUACAUGAAGAUGUCGUAGAACACGUAUGAUUUCUGCAGUAUUUAGCUUUAAAGUUGAUGCAAUUUAACUUACCAAAUGAUUAUUUGUUGAUAGUAGUUUGACAUUUCCAUGUCAUUCAGAGAUCAAAAUUCCAAAAGCAGAAAUUAGAUAAUAAAAUUUGUGCUGGAUUUAAUGCCAAAUAUCUUGUUUAGGGUCAAUCAGCAUUUUGCAGUUAAACCUUUACUUGGAGUAUCUGGCUUUGCUGAAGUACUUUGAUGAUGAAACCAUGACUGUGAAACUUUUGUUAGCGUGCAUAUAGUGUAGAAAUUGAUGUGUUAGCAUUUAUGUCAAGUAUAGAAUUGAGAUGCAAUUCAGCUGAGGGAAAAAAAAAAGACACAAACAGCAGCUUUUUAAUUCUUAGUGUGCAAUUUGUAAUUUAAUCAUCAGUCCCUGCACGGGCAUGUGGCCUUUCUACUAAAAGACCAAAUUUUAUAAGCAUGGAGUCUAGAUGGAAUAAAUUGAGAAUGUGAACACUUUUUCUUGUUGAUCAAUGUGUUUUUAACUAUUAUGAUCCUUAUGCAUAGUUGAUCAAGUGAUUUUUAGAAUCUGAAGAUAAGAGAUAAAUGGUGUUUAUUUUAGAGCAUGACCUUCAAAACUUUUUCUAAUGUUUUUGUCAACAUAUUUCAACCUCUGAAAUAUGUGUCUAGUCUUAAAUUGCUUCCUCACAAUCCUUUCAUCUUUUGAAAACUUUCAUUUGCUUGUCUGCAGAUGGUAUUCUAAUCAAAGAAGUAAAUCGCCUGUUGAGAUCAAAUGGAUAUUUUGUCUAUUCAGCUCCUCCAGCUUAUAGAAAGGAUAAGGACUUUCCAGUGAUUUGGGAUAAGUUGGUUAAUCUGACUUCUGCAAUGUGCUGGAAGCUCAUUGCUAGGGAAGUACAGACGGCAAUCUGGACGAAACCAGAUAAUGAUUCAUGCCUCCAGCACAAUGCACGGCUGAAGCUUGUUGACAUUUGCGAUCUCGAGGAUGCUUCUAAACCAUUUUGGAAUACACCUCUGAGGAACUGUAUAAGCCUGACUAACAGAGCACAGAAACUUCCUCCUUUGCCACGACGCCUUUUCACAAUAUUCUCAAACUCUUAGUAGGAUAGGUUUGUUGGUCCUCUUCUUUUAUAGCCUACUAAAUUUUUUGCUGCUGAUCCUCUCUGCUUCUUGACAUUAAGUUUAAAUGCUGUAUGUGUACUAAAGUGAGUGAAUAUGUGUUAUCUUCAUGUAAUGGUGUCUCUUGGACUGCUUCUCGAUUGAAACUUAUCUAAAAGAAUAACGAACAAAAUGCAUCUCAUUACAGUAAAUUUUUGUCUCAAGAGAUAAGGCCUCUUGAUAGGCAUGCAAAAUCAAAUUAGAGAGUUUAAAUGUAUCUUGGAAGUGGCACCUUUUCCUUCUUGGUUUCUUUUUUCAUUUUUAUUUUUGUUAUCAUUUUUCUGCGUGCUUUGUGUAGAUUCUUCAGUAAGCUUGGGAAGUGAAAUGUUCGUCAAUCAUUUGACAUCAGAAGACGAUCUUCAGUUUUAUGCCUUACAUGAAUGUCCCCAGUUCUGAAGCACACAUAUUGCUACUGCAUUGUCAAACAAGAUAAUACUAUAUAUGUGCCUUGUUUAAUAACUUAUAUGCUGACAACAAAGUUCAUCAUCAAGAACAACCUACUGCUUUGCUGCUAAUGGAAUUGUGGUUUUGCAAACAACAAUGUUGCCCACUUCCUUUUUUCCUUUUUGGGACGAGUCAAUUUUGUCCACUUUAGAUAUGUGUGCGACAUAUUGUAUUUCUUUACCUUCUGGUAUGGCUCUUAUACUUAUUGCUUUAGGAUGUAAUGCAAGUACUGGUCACCCAGUUGACUAGCAAAACCACCUUCGUUUAAUUUAUCGGAUAAAUAGAUGUUUGACAAAGGCUUUGCUUUUGUUAUGUAGGGUAUAUGAUUGUGCACAUGAAUAAAGACAUGUAGCAAGCAUUAGGAGUUCUUCUAAUUUAAAUAAUUUUGUGCCCCAUCUUUACUUCAAAUUUGAGAUGUGAAGAAUCUAAAUAGAUAUGUUUAUGUUGUGAAAAUUUAUGGUGCUGAUUUUAUUAUAGAAGUAUAAGAAAUACAACUUGUAAACAGAUAUAUCACUAAUAUCUGGAGAUCCCAAAAUAAUUAUUUUUUUCAGUCCGAAUUUAAAAGUUUAUAUGACCUAAAGAUAUUUAUUUUUAGCCUGAUUAAAGUUACUGUCAAUCUUUAGCCACAUGGUUAGCAAAUUAAAGCAAAUUGUACAAGUUCAGGAGAGACGCCUUGCAUGGAAGAUGCUCUCUGGGUUAGUUGGGCUUAUCCUAAUUGAGAAUGGGUGUCCACUUACUGUGUCAAUUUCUUAUGCAUCUGUGUUUCUUGUUUUCUAUCUAUAUCUAAACACAAAUUGGUUGUUGAAGUAAUACUGUAUAGUGUUGCUGUUUAAGUAAUCAUAUCGACCAAUUCUGGUCAACUUACCCUACAUUUGAGAGAUUGCUAGUUGAUUAUGACAUCACUUCCUAAAGGAAUCAUUGUUUGUGUAACUAUUUUCUGCAGGCAUUGAUCAAGGAAAGUUUUUAGCAGACACACUAUAUUGGCAAGAUCAAGUUCGACAUUAUUGGAGAUUGAUGAAUAUUGAAGAGAACAAAAUACGCAAUGCCAUGGACACGAGUGCUUUUCUUGGUGGAUUCGCAGUUGCUAUGAGUACAUGGCCACUCUGGUGAUGAAUAUUGUUCCUUCAAGCAUGAAGAAUACCUUGCCUGCUAUUUAUGACCGUGGUCUAAUUGGUGCUUUCCAUGACUGGUAUGCUGGUUUCAAAUUGUUGAACAUGACUAUCCUCACUCAACUUCACGUAACACUCAUGAUAAAAUCUUGCAUUGGAAUUCCUAGGUGUGAGCCAUUUUCAACCUAUCCCCGUUCAUAUGACCUCUUGCAUGCCAACCGUCUUUUGUCUCGCUACAAAAGUAGUGGAGAAGGUUGCUUAGUUGAGGACAUCAUACUGGAGAUGGACCGCAUUGUACGACCUGAGGUAAACAAGUUUUUGGUGAUUCACUUCUUUCUUUCAUAACUGCACAAUCAAACAGUCAGGUCGACUUAGUGCUCAGUCAGGUUACCUGUGCAGACAUUUUUAGAAAAUGAAAAAAAAAAAGAGAAGAAGUUAUGAUACAAAAGGAUUGUGUAUGUGCAUGUUAGUGCUAGGGACAGAGAGAGAGAGAGAUAGAGCAAUUGGUGCGUGCGUAUUUUACAUGGGGUGUGAAAUCAUAAUCCAAGGCUUUUCAUGAUGCAAGUCAAACAAUGAUAAAGAAAAGAAGGUCUACACCUCUAAUCAGAAUCCAAAUAUUCCUUUGACGAUUGAAUAAAGCUUUGACAUGGAUAUUGUUCUGCUUCAUGGAAAAUGACGAAAAUAAUUAUGUAAUCUUCACCAUAUGUUGUCUCUGCAUGCGUGUUUGUGUAUGAUGUCUGCGCGCAAUUGAGAGAGAGAGAGAGAGAUUAAACUAAAUUAAGACUUUCAGACAGAUUUAUUACUAUGAUUUGCCCUUGCAUGUACCAACAUAAUGGAUAUGGAUCCUCUCCACCCAAGAUCUAUGAAGAACUAGAUGGGGCUUAUGAAAUUUAUUAAGGAUCAAUCUGAUGUGCCUUGAAAAGCAAAAAUAAUACACUUGCUUUAAGGUGGAGGGAAUAUUUACCAGUCAGAUAUCAGGGCUAUAGGUGGAAAUCUUUUACAUAUCGAGUGUUUGGACGAGCACGUUCAGAGCAAUCACACAAGCAUACUUGGUAUUGGAAAACUUUGUGUCAGGAAGGACUAUUAUUGGCAAAUUGCAUGAAAUAAAUGAACUUGGUGUUGCUGGUAUCUCAUUGUAUCUUUUAUGCUUGAUUUCUUGUGAGAGAAAUAACAUGUUGGGCCAUUUAUGUAGCAUCACGUUGUUUCUUUUCCUGUUGUGUUUAUCUGAUUCUGCCAUGCAGUGCCUAUUUUUGUCAACUUUUUUUGUCAACUUUUUUAAAGUCUUGGAGAGUCAUCAAGUUAAGAAAUUGCUGGUCCUAGUCAAUAGUAACUGACAGUAAUAUCCGAAUUUUGUUGUGUUAUCUUGCUGCUUCUGUGGAGCAGUAUAGCACCUUUUAGAGCAGAAACUGAACCUCUCUCUCUUUAAGAUGCCACAGUGAUUAUAGUCUCCUCUAGCAUGUGUGAUGGACAUGCUCCAGUAACUAUCGCUCUACCAUUGAAUUUUCUGCUCAACCUCCAAUAUUGAACUGUCAUUAAUUUCCUUCUGCUGUGUCUACACCAUGUACGGUGUGUAUCUGAACCAGCAUCUUAGUUGUUUUUAGGAUAUCAUCAUAUGUCAUUUGCCUUGGAGAACCUGCCUCUCUUGAUUUAUAUUUUGUUUUUGGUCAUCGAAAUUUGGGCUUAGUGUACCAGCAGUAGACCUCUUCACUAUAAGGUUAUGUGUAAUGUAACUAAAGGACUUCUGGUAGCUUCACCACUACUGCAGCUGCGUAUGUUAAUCCACUAACUUGCCUUCUCGACUACCGCGAUCUUUGCAUUGCUUGAUUUAUUCCAGGUGAUGGUAAAGAUUGGUUAAUGUUUUGCUUUCAGGGUAUCAUUAUUAUUAGGGAUGAAGAACCAAUUAUAUCACAAGUAAAAGAUCUUGCCCCGAAGUUUCUUUGGGACAUUGAAGUGCAUCUUUUGGAAGAUGAUCAGAAAAGACCAGAACCAGUUUUAUUUUGCCGGAAAAAGUUUUGGGCCAUUGUUUAAGUUGCAGAGCUUCGUAGCCGGUUGUUGUUCUGUUGUAACUACAUACAGAUCGAUUCCUGUACUAUAGAAAAGUCAGACCAGACUUUUUUAGGUAAAAGUUAUCGUCAGAAUAGACUGUUUAUUGAUCAUUAGUAGAUUGAUUUUGUAAAUUCUUAGGUGCAGCUCUUUUUUCCAUGGCACCAGGAGGAAGGUACAGAAAUCUCUGUUUUUUUCAACAGAAUUGUAACCUUCGAAUGAAUUCUGUGGUUAGAAGCCUGUGUAGUAUCAAAACAAUUAUUUUCAUUGUUCAUUCAUGCAGCUUUUUCUUCUUGUUUGAUGCUUUAAAGAGAAUUUAUUGCAUAUUAAAGACACUGGACCCGAGAACAAACAAAUGAACCCAUUGAGAAGAGCUACGGCCCAAGAUAUCAUUCAGAUGGGAACCCCAAACCAACAAAUAUAAAGCCCAUUUGAGAUUUAUGCAUCACUUUGGGUGUGGGCUGUCGUGUGAUGUCGUCCCAUGGAAUCUGAGUAUGAGCGAAUAGAGUUGGAGAGCAACUUUUGGGUCCCAAGGAACAAUUGGACCCUAUGAGAACCGGGUCCGUUUGGACCAUCUCUCACAAAAAGGAAAAUUCCCCUCAAUUUUCACUUGUGGGGCUCACCAAGAUGGUUCAUAAAAUUCCAAUAACACCCCUCAAAAAAUGUCUAUUUCUCACGUUGUCGUAUUGAAUGUCUAAUUGAUUCAAUUCAUACCUUGUGACACAUAUUACAAAUCUCUCAACCAGGUACGUACAAUUAGGUCAAAUAGCCGAAUUUGGCCUAAAUUUGGCAUGUACAACAACGCACAUGGUUCCGUAACCUGAGCAACAUACUCUUUCCACUCUACAUAACAUUUCACACAAAGAGUUUUGAACUAAUCAAAUGAGAGUCAAAACGUACUAUGAAUGCCAAACUCAUUAUUAUAAAGCUUUUGAGCCUAUGAAAUGAAGUAUAAGGUGCACUUAAUUACAUUUUUAAAAUAUAUUUUUGCAAUUAUAAUAAAGAUAUCAAAGAUAGUAGCCAUAAGCUAAUUAAUAUAUCAUAAAAUUAAAUUCAAUUAUGAUCAGCCAAGAGUUUCACUAAUUAGAAUUUUUAGCCAUAUGGGGAAUAACUCUCUAGGUCGUUUUACCAAAACAAAUCUAGAUUCUUUUGGAAAAAAAAAAAUUCAUCAAGAGCAAGUAAUUAAAAAUUCAAGGGUAAUUUGGUCAAUUCACAAUAUCGCGUGCGUUGAACAUGCUAAAUUCAUCUUGAAAUUGGAUUGUUUGUACCCAAUUAGGAAAAUUGUAAUAGCUAGCACAUGAAUUGAAUUUAUCCAAUUAAACAUUCAGGGGGGCGCAGUGUGAGGAAGAAGUAUUUUUCAAGGGGGUUUAUUUAUUUGGAAUUAAUCCUAAAAUAAAAUUAUUCAAGCAUCUUAAUAGUCUAAAUUAUUCAAAAGGUCUCCUGUUUCUUUGAAUAUCAAAACCUCAAGCACCAAUCUUCUUUAAAUCUGUUAUUAUCCUACCUCUUUAUCUCUAUAUUAUAGUUGUUUUCAUCUCUUAGCACUUUGUCAAUUCUCCAAUUCUAGGCUCAGUAAAGUAGAAAAGCAAUAAUCCAUUGAAUGUGGAAUAACUAUUGCUGAGUUUCCUGUCUACCAUGUAAAGAUAAAAGUCCUAAUAUUGAAAUUGACGUGCAAAGUGCCAGGUUGCUCCUUUAGGUACAUUAUUACAUUACCCCAUUCUAUCAAGAAGCACCGAAUGGACCUUACUUUUUGUCUUUGUGCCCCAAAAAAAGAUUUUUGAUUGGUUGGGAAUGACUUUCAUCAAGGCAAGGAGUUUACUUUUCGUUCUAUGUUAGGUUGUUCAAACAGAAACUAAUUCGAGAUUGUAAGCCUGAUCAAGAACGAUGACAUUUCACUUGAACACGUACGUAUAUGCUGAAGUUAGGCAAACCAUAAUAUGAUCAGCCCUACUGUUACAUUUAUCAAACAGUGCUUAAAAAGAGAUGAGUCUGCAAGAAACUCUGAUGGAAGCCUGGAAUUCAUAAAUAUUUGUACUUGGGAUUGAAUCAUAAAUUGUAAAGAUUUUUUGUCUUUGCAGCAGAACUGAUCUUCUUGGAGUGAAAUACGUGAAACAUGCUCAUAUAUACUUUGCAAAUCCAUAUUGGAAUUUUCCCCGUGAAAUAGUUGAGAUCCAUCUGAUAACCACGACAAAAAAAAAAAAAGAAAAUGUUUCUACAUAUAUGGAACCACACCACAUGCACUGUUGUAGAUGUAGAUUUCAUAUAACUUUAUUGGUGUGUAUCUUGCAUAUAGUGUGAAUAUUGAAUUAUCUUGAGAUUUCUUUUCAAUAUCAACCGUUCAAUAAUUACACAACUUGUCUCGGGAGCGUGUCAUAUACGUAACGAUGAUCAGAAUCAAAUUUAUCCAAAUUUUAUCUUGCAUAUACGUAUAUAUAUAACCCUUUUGCCCCAAAUCCUACGAACAUAUGAUAUGUGCAUGUACAUAUUUUUGAAGAUGUGCACGAAUUCUAUGUACUAUAUUUAUUCCUUUUUGGUGCAAAAAUGAAUAUUCAAAUAUACGAAUAUGGCCAAAUAGACAUGCAUACUGAUCAGGAGGACUUAUAUACACAUUCAAAUUAAAUUAUUGUGGUCAAUGAAAUUGCGUUACUAAGUAGUACUACAAGUGUGUCUCAACACAGAGGAAAGCAAUGAAUGCGAAUUUUGCUUUUUUCUCUUGUCGACUAGUAUUAAUAUGCCAAAAAUAAGGUGCAGAUCAGAAAAGACCACUAAAUUUAAUGAAGGGUUGACAUGACAAGACAACCCCACGCUUGUCGGGUUUGCCUUAGCAUUUAGCAGCUUCCCCCAUCUUCCCUUUGUACUAUAGGGCCAUGCCAACAGCAACAGCAGCAGCAGCAGUGGCGGAAUUCCUCCUCAAAACCUGCCAAUGUAAAAGUCAUUGCAGCUCCUGCCAGCACGAGAACCAGUGGUUUUCCCCCUUGGCUGCUUCUCCUAUUGUACUCAACUCUUCACGUUUUUAAGGUUCUACUUAACACCCUUUUUUAUCGACAUAUAUAUCACAUAAUUUCCAUUAAUUAUUUUGUCAAUGAUGAUGAAUUUUUUGUGUAUAUAUUCUGUUGUUUGAUUAGAAGUAUGGAAAAUGGUUUUGGCACUUUAUUAGGUUUUAAUUUUUGGCUAGUUUGGCAGAUGGUUUUGGCACUUUUUUUUUCUGCUUCCCUCUUAAUUCAGUUUUCAAACAAGUAGAAUAAGCAUGAAAGGUAUAAGAAUCAAAUCUGUAAACAAACCACAAUUUAUAGGCAGUCUAAAACAUCUUGAAACAUGGAUUUUAAAUAACUAGUGUUAAAUAAAUAAAUAAAUAUAUAUAUAUAUAAAAAGAGCCCAUCUUCUAAUAUCCUCAGGUCUAAAAUUCUUGUCCUAUCCUCUAAUAAUUUUCAACUAAUAUAACACAAAAGAGAUCAACAAAUGGGCACCCACAGAACUUCAGAACUACAUGCAAAAUAUAAUCUCUGAAACUAUACAAGUCAUAAUAAAACUAAGUUGCAACUUUCUUAAGGUCUGACUCUACCAAGGCAUUUUGUCACCACAUGCACCAUUCUGCCCUCUGCUGGUUAAUGCUGCUGCCUUUCAAGUAUAUACAGGUCCUGUGAUGAAGUACACCAACAUAGCUGUCUAUCCAUUUUUUCCCUAGAUUUAUGAGCUCAAGAAUUAGACCUAUUUGAUACCUUAUUACUAAAUCCUUUGCAAUUUGAGGACAUUCUCUGCAUUACAUGUUUAUUGGUCAUUUAUAGGGUAACUCCAUUGAAGUAUAAUCAAGGAUCUUAAGAUUUUAUUUAUUGAUGCUUUUUUCCAAGGUCCACCACAAUCCAUAUGUACAAUAAAGUACAAUUCCAUAUAUAUAAUAAACAGUGUGCUCAAAAUCGUUGUUUGGAUAGAUUAUUAUUUGAAAUAAUUACUGUAAUAUUUUUUGUGAUGUGAUGUACGUGAGAUAAAAAGAUAAUUAAAAAUAUAAAAAUAUGUUUAUAAAAUAAAUAAUUUAAAUAAUUUCACUGUCCAAACAAUUCAUUUACUAAAUGGUUAUAUUCAACUAGUAAACUGGCCUUAAUUUAUAACAUUCAUCUCGUCCGAAAGAUAGACAUUUCUCUAUAUGCCACUUGAUGGUCUGCCAAGUUGAAAAGGCGCAUCAUCACUUACAUCUAACCCAUACGUAAAAGAUUAAAGGCUCAUCACUGAUUCCCCCCCCCGCCCCCUCCUCUGAAUUACAUCAGAGAAUAUCUUUUGUAACAUAUCAAAAAAUGUUGUAAGGAAAAAGUCUUCCACAUGUCUGCUAAGAACAGAAUUAAUAAUUCUCUAAAAUUACACUUUCCUCAGCUUAUUACCAAACCAUACGUAAUGGAUUAAUUAAACUGACUGAGUGGCCUAGAUGACUCGAUGUUGCAUGAAAAUGAGCGUCAUAUUACUAGUUCAAUUACACAACUAGUUUGAAUUAAUCUUUUACUGAGGAUAAUCAUGCAAAGUCAACAUGUGUUGUUUGUUGAUAACAGUCAACAAACCCCUUUCUAUAUUACAGGAACUUCACACACACUCACACAUACAUACAUACAUAUAUAUAUUCUCAUGUAUUCUCAUUGGCUGAAGGAGAAAAACAAUCAAUAGAAGGAGAAUGCCGAAUUUUAGGACACACAUGCACACGCUCGAUAGACACAUCAACAAGGAAGAUCAUUUUUAAUAGUAAACUGUACUGCAGUGAUCUGCUGUGCACAAGGCGCUGCAGAAGGCCACUACUGCAGUUCCCUUUCCUUCCUUUUAGGCCAGCAGAAUCCACAGGAAACAACAGACGACUCAGAGAGAAAGAUUGAUCAAUGAGGCAAGAAAGAGAGGCAAAAGGAAUGAAAUAAAGGCUUGACACAAUUAUUACUUGUUCAGUUAUACACUCGUUCCUCUUCUUCUUCUUUUUCCUCUUCUUUUUCUAAUAAUAAAAUCGAAAAAAAAAAACCGAUUGAUUGGACGUCGAUGUCCAUAUCUACCUCAUCUAGCCCUAGACUUAGUAGCGCUAGCUAGCAUUAUUAUUAUUACUACCAGUAGAACUAGUCAUACCUCAUUUAAGAUUUUGCACGUGAAAGUCAGUGCCAGCCCAUAAAUAUAUACAAUUAGUAAUAAUUAUUCAAGCCACUAAAAAUCUAUUAUAGUUAAAAAAGAAAAAUAGUAAAUCAAGAAAAGAUGAAGAAGAAAGGAAGGCUUGUUCAGAAGUCCAGUCCGGUCGAGUAGUACAAGGUCUGCAACUGUUGUUGAAGGGGCUAUCAGAGGCGAAUGAGAGAUCAUGGGUUGGUGAUACGUGUCGAUUUUAUAUGUAACUUUGAUCGUACGGUUGAUGAUAGCCGUUGGUGAAGAAGACUGAGGACUGACCAGCUGACUCCCAAUUGGAGAGGGCAUGGUGAGAAGGGAGGGAAGGAGAGGAAGGAAGGGUGGAAAGAAAGGGUGAUGAUGGCUGAUGAAUGAAACUGACAGGGAGAGGUCAGGGUCAUGAGUCAAAAUCAUACUACUUCUUGGUUUUUCUAUCACUCUCACAUGCAUUUUUGGUAUUGUCACAUCAUCUGGAAUCACUCUGACCACGACUCCACGACGACUCCUUUGGGCGCCCCCUCUUUUCCCUCUAAUUUUUUCUUGGGAAGAUCGCAGUUUUUAACUUACUCGAUUGAGACCAUGUUAUGGUAUGUUCCAUUACAAUGCCAAUACAAUUCGACUUUGGCAUAGUUUGCAAAUUUGAAGUAUAUGCAUGUAGUACUUGACAAAAUCUUGAAUGUGGCAGAUGGAAUUUUGAAGUGUUAUUUGCCACACUUCCAAUUCAAAUUAACUCUUUGGUGCGUUAUAAAUGGAUAGAAAUGACCUUUAAUCAUCAAGUAUGCUAUUGGUAGACCUAAAAAUAGGGAUAAUUUUACAAACCUCCCCUUAGAUUUAUGUCGAUUUCAAGAAGUACUCUCUAAGUUUAAAAAUUACAUAAACAUGCUUUAGACGUAGUUUGGGGCUCGCUUUGCUAAUAUAAGCAAAAUAUCUCUGUCGAUUAUCCUAUAUUACCCCUGGGUGUUUUUUCUCCAUAGAAAUAAAAUUUCCUUCAUGGAGAUGUUAAAUUGAGUAAUUCAUGAAGGUUAAUUUGUCAUUUUACACCAUGAAGGGAGGCAGGUAUAAUUUUUUAAACGUGAAGUGUACUAUCUACAAUUGUCAUAAACUUAAGGGAGAUUUGUGAAAUUAUCCCAAAAAAAAAAGAAACUUAUACAAGGCAAAAACAAGUAUAGUGCUAGUACUAAUAAUUGUUGUUAAGUAAAUUAUUCUUUUCAUUGCCAAACAGAAAAAGAAAUUGCUUUCCAUGUUUUUAUGUACACGAAUUAUACCGAGGGUUACUCAUCUAGGGAUGUUCGUAGACACGUUUGAAGUAUUCUUUUUUGAGCGUCUUGUAUACAUACUAUUGUUUCCUUCAAGUGCAACGAGAAAUAACGUUCUUAUUCUGAUGGAAGGAGCUAAUCUUCUCUCACUAAUUGGUAGAGUAGUAGACUGGAAAUUCCUUCUCUUGAUUAAGAAGUAAUUAGGUUUUGAAUGAAUCACCAACAAUAUAAUGGAAAUUGUUCACCGAAGAGAAAAUUCAGAGAUUUUAUUCCUCUUUUUUCUUUUGAGUAUUGAUAACUAUAAUUUAAAAGCAGGUCAAUGGUCAGAGGCACUAAAUCCAUGAAUUUUGAUGAUGAUAUACAAGCAAAAAGAUUGAGUUUCUCCAAAUAAAAGAAAGAAGUUUGCAUCUUUUAAACCUAUCAUCAAUUUUAAAUUAUAACUUCAAGAAAUAUAAGGAUGUUAUAGAAUUUAAACAUAAUGAUCACUUUGACAAUAGGAAAAUCGAAUCGAAACUUAGUAGAUAGAGAAUAAAUUAGUAACCAAAAUGACUUUGUCUAUUUAUGGAUUUAUUAUCAUUAUUUGGACACCCAAAAUUUUUCAAAAUGUAUUUUACUUAUAUUAUAAAUAUGUUUUCAGUCACUUUUUUUUAUAUCAUUAAUUAUCUUUUUAUCUCACAUACAACGUAUCAUAAAAACUGCUAUAGUGUUAUUUCAAAUAAUCUCCUAUCCAACACACUCACACUGGGAAUUACUCUAUAAUUUUAUAUCGUCAUCAAAAAGUUAAAUUGAAUCUAACUCUAGAACAAGCUCACUCGACCAAAUUUCGAGCUCCACAAGUCUAAUUAUUUAAUUUACUAGAUUAUUGUAAGUGGACGGCCUUAUGCCAAAUGCAAAACAAAGUACAUAGUGGCCAAACUAGGAUUUGUAACUAUUGGUGGCCGUAUUCUAUCCCAAAAUGAUGUUAUAACUAUGCAGAGAAAGAACAUGUAAAUUAUUUUUCAUUCAAGUAGUAAUCAGUUUUGUAACUUUAAAACAUUUGGUACCGUAGGAAAGAUGUUUAAAACAAACUGAUUGUCUAGCAAGCCAAUGACCAAUGUGAGUGUAAAUGAGGAUUUUUCAAAUACAGGGAGGGGGAGCCAAUGACAAAUGUCAAAGGAGAAGGGCAUAUUUUCAAACCUAUUCUUGAAACUCUGGAAAGUUGAGGGACAGACCGCCAUCCUCAGGAAAAAAUAAAUAUAGCUCUUGCCUUGAAAGUAGUUAUGCAUUUUUCAUUUCAUCAUCAGCAAAUGGUACUCCUGCAAACUUUUCUUGAAUCUGUUGAAUACUCUCCUAUUUUAUCCAAGGUAGCUUUAGACUCCCCUAUUAUGCUAGCAUGGAAGAAAAUUUCUAGACUCAUCUGUUAAAUUUAUCUCCGUCUUCUUUCUCUAUUAGUACUUCGUAGGGAUAAUUUUCAGAUUAGAAAAACGACAGAGGAGGUUAGGAAAUUGUAAAAAUCCAGGGGAGAUUAUAAUAAAUCUCAGCAAUAAUGGUCCAAUAACCAUUACUAGUUCUCCAAUAUCAGGAAUAAGGUCUGUAAUUGUGCAAUCUAUUUUCUACUGUGCUUACCCUAUAAUUAUUGAGGUUUUGAAUCCAGCCCAAGUGGAUAAUUAGUGGAAACUACAACAGAUUUAUUCCCCUAAUGUAUCUUUUGACAAGGUCCUGGAAUAUGGAUGGUGAAGUGCAAAAGGCUAUAAUUUCUCUGUCAUGACCUAAGGUACGUGCACACUCCACUAUAUUGCCCCUCUAGUAGUCAUUGUCAUAUGUUCCCAUGUAUGUCCAAGAUUCGUUUGGGUAAUUAGGUUAUGGUCCAUUAAGCUUAAUUAAGCCAAGCUAAUUCUUAAGUAAUUAAGCCAAGCUUCAUUUUGGGCUUCAACAGCAAAAAAGAAAAACAUACCAGGAAUAUAAUGAAAGAAGAUAUCGUUACCUGGCUCUUUCGACUAUCAUUGCAUGGAUGCUGCUAUUUAGCAAAGAAUUAAAAAGACUUUUAAUACUCGUUGAAAUAAAAGGUUGCAGGAUUAUUUAAGUCCUCUUCGACCUUUGCCAUUUCUUUUUUUCUUUUCUUGAGAUAAAAGACUUAUGAAUGUCAAGAAGAUUAAAAAUAAUAAUAAUAAAGAAGAAGAAAAUCAGAAGUGACAAAAAUCAUCCCAAAAAGCACUCGUUGACGGUUAUUUAGUGAGGUUUUCUACUCACUAUGGCUUAGAAAUCAUGGCAAUUGUCAGGGUUUACUUUAUCAGUGGAUUUCACAAUCAAAAGAUCUAAGCAAGAAAAUGGUGGUGCUUCUGGUUCAAAUCUCACGAUACACAAGGAGGAAAAAAGUGAAGAGACCAGCAACUAAAAUUCACUGUUCCUGCAGCUGAGCCUUUGAUCGAGUCAAAUGCAUAUCCGGCCAGCUGAUCAAUGCAAUAAAUGAAAAAGCUAAGAGGGAUUGGAUGAAUUUGAAAAUAUUGCCGUAGGACUGCCUUUCUAAACAUGAAUUUUCAUAGCUUGACCAUAUCUUUUGUCCCAGACAAGCUUGUAAAGUCUACAGUGUUGAACACUUCACUGGGCAUCCUUAACCAAAACUGGCUUCUAUGGUGGAUUAUAGACUGUAAAUACGCAGUCAUGUUGAAAAGGGUUUACCGAUCUUCUUUCUUUGUUAAGCCAAAGCUUCAUGACCAUGAGCAUCUGGAGCUGCUAAAUCGUUUUUUUUUUUUUUUUGGUUUUUAAUUCUAUUAAUUCCAAACUGAAUAUGCCAGAUUUGUGUGCUUAUUGUAGGAAAUUAUGAAGGGGCCUAUUCAUUGAUUCAAUCGGGCAAAGUACUUGAGAUUCGUGUUAAGUUAUCUUGUACGCUCAUGAUUAAUUCUAUCGAUGCACUUGAUCAUUAGAUUCACAAUUACUACACAACAAAUACUUAAAAGAGUUUUGUAGAGUUAUGAAUGAGCUCAUCAGGAUGCCUUGCUAUGUAUGUACAUGUCCGAAAUUUGAUAUGAAAUCAAAUCAAUUAGUCCACUACUUAAACUCUGAUACUAUGCCAAAAAAAAAAUUGUUUUUUUGAAUGUCCAACUCCAAAUUUCUAGAGAAAAUUUCGAAAUUAAGCCAUGAAAUAUUUGCCCAUUAACUAUUGGUCCUUAUGGAGUCCUUUCAAUAUGUACUCAAGAUAAAGGUGUAGGGCCCCAUCAGUUUAGUUUCAGUUUCAUCAAUGGUCUCUUUUACAAUUCUUCUCUUGCCUCCCUCUUUAGAAUGCCCAGCUCCAUCAAUGUAUACAUUUUUAGGUUGAAUUGAACCUCAUUCUUCUUGAUUGCCCUUGACUUUUUUCUCUUUCUUUUUAAAAAAAUAUGUCGAUCUUGUCCCAUUGUAUCAUUAAGCUGUAUGAAGAGAUUGUUGAAAGGUAAAGAUGGUUUCGUGACAAGUGACAACAUACUAUGAGUCAAUUUGCGUGUGUUUGUGUUUUUCUUUGUGUAUUGAUCAAAGAGAGAUCAUAUGAGUAUGUGUGGUGCGUGUAAGAGAAGAAGAGGCCAUAGCAAAAUCUUUUCUUCUCCACAAUUAUCAGAGGCCACAAUGACAAUCUAACUUGUAAUCAAUUACGUGCACUUCAUGUGGUGUGAUGGCAGGGCUGCUUGAACAGUAGAGGAAGUCAAAGAAAGUGGAUUUUGGUAAGUUGCCCUUUGCUUUUGCAUUUACGAGAUAUGUUCUCCUAAAAGCAAACAAGAUGACUAAGGCCCUUGACACUUUUGUGUCAAGCUUUCUACCUAGAUGACAUUGGCUUACAACUUGGAAAUAUCGUUUAUCUUAGGGUUCAUUUGGGAGUGAAUGAUUUGGAUAGAAAAGAAGAGAAAUAGUGAUUUUCCUUUGUUUGAUAGUUUUAAGUAGAAAAGAAAAGAAAGGAAAUGAGAGGAUGAAUAGUGACAAAAAUGUUUCCUCCCAAAUUGGAAAGAAAUGGAGAGAAAGUUUGGAGAAAGCUUGUUAAUUUUUCUAAAAUGCCUAUUUUGUCCUUAAAAAUGGCUUGAAUAAAUAUUUAAUGACUUCCAUAUCCAAAAUCAUUCCACUAAUUCUCAAAACUCCCAAACAACAUAACAAUCUCUUUUCUUCUCUUCUCUUCUCUCAUGACUUAAGCUUUCUCUUCUUUUCUUUUCUAUCCUAAACUCCCAAACUAAGCCUUAGGCACAAAUUGGAUUAAGGAAGUGGAAGGGAAAGGAAAAGAGAGGAGUUUGAAGGAUUUGGUUUCAGUGUUUGGCUGAUUUUUGAGGAGGGAGGGAAAGUGUCUAGUUGUUAUAUUGAAUUAUAGUUUCUGUCUAAAAGUGGGUGAAAACGGAGAGAAAUAAGCUAAACUAAUUAAAAUAACUUAAUUUUUUUUAAAAUAUCAUUUUUUUCUCUGUCUUUUUCGUAAAUUAACACUUGACCUUUUUUUUUCCUUUUUUUACUUCUUCAAUCCAAACAAAAAUUCAGUGUAUCCUUUAUUUUCCUGCCAUUCUUAAUUUAAAUAAGAUAGGUGGAAACUACUUUCCUCUACUUUUCUUUCCUUUUUUCAUCAAUAUCCUUUCCUUUCCUUUCCUUCGAGCCAAACGGUGCCUUGGCUUCUUUGUUCUACUAACAAAGAUUUCUUCGUAUACAUCUAAACGAGAGAGAUUGUAGAAGCAUAUAUAUAAUAUAUAUAUAUAUAUAUAUAUAUAUAUAUAUAUAUAAUAUUAGUGUUGGUAAUAUAAUAUUAAUAUGAGUCAAUUGGGAUAACAUAAACAAUAUCCCUUACCCUGUUAAUAUGUAGUACUACCCAAUGGAAAUGGAAAAUCAAGAAUCGAUUCCUUGGAAUGGCCGACUACAUUUCAAUUCGAAGCAAUUAAUUAAAUCAAUCUUGUUUUUCUUUUUUGGUAUUGUAGGGACCUUAAUCAUUAUAAAACUUUAAAAGUCACCACUUUAACAGUUUCACCUCAUAUUUUUUUAAUUCUUGAAGUUGGAUCCACUUGCUAGUUUCUUUUUUACAGUUGGUGCCUCCUUUUAUGGCCCCUUUCUCAAAGUAAACAAGUUUAAUAUACUUGUUUUAAAAUUUCCCCAAUAAAGCAAGGAAUGAAUCAUUACAUCUCAUCUGUAGAUCCUUUCCAUUUUUGGAAAUUAAUCAUAGAACCAUGGAUAUAAGCAAGGCUGUGUACCCACCUAUUCAAGCCACUCCGACCCACGAUAAUCAAUACAUAAACAUGUGCCAGAAUGCUGUUGGAGGGACUAAGUUCAAACUCGAACUUACAUUAUUUUAAAUUCCCACUUUGCAUAAAUAUUAGUGCUAAUAGCAUGAAAGGUAUGAUUUAGAAUGUAAAAAAUGUUAGAUUUAGUCCCUUCAGCUGUCCCUAUUUUACUCAGAUUCAAUUCCUUACAGACAGCUUCAGAUUUUGGUAAAAUCUUUUAGUUUACAGAGUACUUUACAUCUAACAAAUGUACAAUAGACAAGUAAUAAACAGAAAUUAUCUGUGUAUAUAUAUAUAUAUUCCCUCCGUCCCAUAAAGAUAGGUCUAUUUCUUUUUUUUUACGCAAAUUAAAAAAAAAUUAGUUAAUACAGAUGCAAUAAUUAUUUUUUCUUCGUACUUUCCUCAAACAUCCCUUAUUAAUAUCAGAUCAUUCAUUCAAAGUAAGAGACACAUAUUACUAUAUUGUUCUCAAAACUUAGAGUACUUUAGCUUUUCAAUGCAAGAAUCAAUCUAAUUAAUGUUACAUGUAUGACUAAAGUGAAUAGCAAGAAUAGAAUUGCCAAACAAUCAAAAUUUUCAAUUUGAAGCCAUUAGAAGGCAACUAUUUUUUUUUUUUUUUGUAAAAAUUUCUAAUAACUAUGUACAUUAAAUAUGGGUAUGUUAGUGAAAUAUAACAAACUAACUACUUUUUUUUUAAAAAAAAAAAAGGAAAAGAAAUAAUCCUAUAAUUUGGGACAGACAUAAAAAAAAAAAUGAUCUUAUCUUUAUGGGACAGAAGAGUAUAUAUUUUGGGCUAGUUAAAUCAUAUAUUAUUAGUUCAAUAGUGUAUUUUGUAUUUGGUUAAACAUUUGUAAUAGAGUGGUUACAUGGGGGCCUAACCUUUAACACUAUAAAAGAUGCUCCGCUGGGGCUUCAGCAUUUGAUCCCAAAUUAUCAAAAAAUCUCAAAUAACAUAUUAUGAUCCAGCAGUUCUUUUUUUUUUUUUUUUUUGGGAAGGGUUUUCUAUUCAUAAGAACAGUAGUGUUGCUCUCACUUUUAUCUCCUAAAUCAUAAUAUAGUAUUCACCAACUUCUGAACACUUUAAAAUAUCUAUCUCCCAUCAUUUCUUGUUGUUUUAGGAGUGGAAUCAACAAUUCAUUUCUGAGUUCUAAGAAUAAUAUAUCCGUACAAUUAUUAUGCAACUUUUUCCCUUAUUAGGAAACCUAUGGGGCAAGCUAAUCACUAAUAAAUGCAUUAUCUUAAUGAUUCUGUCCCAACUUGUCGAAACCUGGGGACUACAAACGACUAAUCUAUCUUUAUUCUAGUUUAAUCUUUACUAACUCUACAGAUUAAAUUAGCCAAAACCUUGACACGCUUUAGCCUUCUAUGAAAAUACAGUGGAUGCAUAAUGGUUAAUCCAUUUUCAAAAGAACUAUUUUCAACAGUAUUAGAGAAGAAGUAGCUUUUGUUUAAGAUGAGAGCAGCAUGAGAUAUGACACUUUUACAAAGUGCAGAAUUGACUUAAGAUCUUUUGAUUUCUUGUACCACUAAGCUCUUAAGCAUUCCAAAACGCCACCUGAUUUUAAAUUUAUGGACUUUACAUGAAUGAAUUACAUGUGGAUAUUUGAAUUUUCUCUACAUAUAUAAGAAUGCCUACCAUAAUGUAUUAAAAAAAAAAAAGCACUUUGUGCUACACAAGACAUUUAAAAGGCUCAAGUUGCAAAAGUUGUUGUCCUUUUAGAAUCCGGGCAAUGCCUGUUUUUUAAGAACACAAUGAUGGCCCCGUUUGACAGGUGAGUUUUUUGGGUGUUUGUCUAAAAUUUUACUGUAAAAGUUUUUAAAAAAUGUUUGAAAUGUGUAAAUUUUUGAAUAUUUUAAAAUGUAUAGUUAAAAAUUUUUGAAAAUUUUUUUGAGGUUAUUGUAGUUAAAGUUUUUAAAAAACUUGUAACAAACAAAUUUGACAAAAAACUUGUCUUCGAAACAAAGCCAAUGAUACGUUAAAAGUAUUUUGUUCUAUGGCAAGGUACCUAACUCUUUAUUUUGAUCAUUUUUAUACUUUAUAUUACCUUUUUGAGUGGAUGUUUGGAAUAAAAUGUUUCUUGUGUUGCACCGCCAUUAGAUUGGGAUCCUAUGGAGUCUAUUGAGCAAUUAUAUCCACCAAGACCGAGAAGAGACAAGCAUUUGUAUAAGCGUACCAUCUGUAAUUAUUUUGCGUACCAAAUAUAUACUUUUGUCAAACCUAUACGUUUUAUAUGCAGCUUUUGGCACAUCAUUUCACUAAGUCAAAGCUGGCCGACCUUCCAAUUGAAAUAUACAACACAAUUGUGUCUCCUCCAAAACUCUAAGUUUGAGGGCCAUCAUAAGAGAUUUCAAAGAGACUUCAUUGGUGGAAUGUGCAAUUUGAUGAUUCCCAAAUGAAUGGGAAGGCCUUGAGCUGAGCUGACUAAAACCCACUAGUACCCCUCCUAGCUCCUUUGUACAUAUGGAAAACCAAUUCUAACUAUUUUGACCCUUAACUCACCACAAGCAGAGAAUAUUUUGAAAUUUUCACCCACUUCCCCUAAAUGGAACUUCAAUCCUUUUUCCAAUAUCUAAUCACAGCUCACCAACAUCAAAUCACCAGCACACAAGAGUCCAGGGAGAAAAUGUCCAAAAUAAUCCGUUGACUAGAUGCCUACAAGGGUCAAUGUGCUUGAGGUAAAGCCAUGAGAAAUUGACCCUUGUCUCCUAGCUCUCAAAUGAUUUAUGGGCUAGCUUGCAUAAUGAAAUCAAGAACAUGCUCCUCAAUCAUGUAAAAUGCAGUGGCUUGUGUGUGUUUGUUUGUGUUCAUUAUAAAAGAUGAAAGCAAAUACAAGCUAAAAUAAAUGGUUAAUAAUAUAGUCCACAAAAUUGAGGUACAAAAUAAUAAUGCGGUUUAGAGAUUGGGAAGUGCAUAGAAAAGUUAAAGAUCAGCAUAGCCAUUCAUUCAUAUUCAAACAUUACUAUGAUAAUACUAUAUGAAUUGUUUUCUUUUCAAUUUCAAAAAAUCAAGCAUGCACUGAUAUCUUCAUUUGACCCACGUUUGCCCUCUUCGUGUGAGGACGUUAUUCGUUUUACUACAGCCUGAAGCCCAAUAUCUUUACAAUAAUGUUUGAAAAUAUAAGUAUUGUACUACAAGCACAAAGGAAGUGACAAAUACAAUCACCCCUUCAAGAAAAUUUUUUUACAUUUUCUAUGAAUAUAUUUUUUAAUUACUUUUUAUCUUCAUAUAUGUUAAAUUACAACAAUUAUAAUAUAUAUUUUUAUAAAAAUUCUUUUUUUUUUUAAAAAUAACAAUCCAAACAGGAGCGAAGGUCCCUCAAUUGUUAUUAAACAUGCAAAUUUGACCCAACUCCAUCUUUGGAGUUUCCACAAUUCAUGCAGUUAAGUCUUCAACUGUAACUUGGCCUGAUUCUCAUAUAUUUUUUUUUAAACACCUAAUUCUCAUACAAUUGCUAAGUUUAGUAUCUGGAUCCUGUGAGGAGCAGAACAUAUCCAUACUACUGUUAAGUAGCUGUAUUAGAUAUUUGAACAAAACAGAAACAGUCUAAAUAAAAUAACGUCGUUUUCAUUUUUCACAUCAUAUAUUAAGAAAACAUAACAAUUAAUCAUGCACCAGAAAACUAUCUAAAAACUCCCCGGCUUAAACAAGUUAGAAGUGAUCUCAUCUUAUAUGUCAUUGGUCUGUUGAAUCACAAAAAUAUGCAUGUCUUUUCUUCUUGGUGAUAUGAGUUAAAGAUGUGGGGUCAAACUUAUAUAUCAACGGCCCUGUUUGGCACUUGAAUUUUUUGCCAAGUUUGUCUGCUACAAGUUUUUUUAAAACUUUAAUUAUAGUAACCUCCAAAAAUUUCUUAAAAUUUUUAAACUAUACACUAUAAAAUAUUCAAAAAUUUACACACUUCAAAAAUUUUUAAAAAACUUUUACAGUAAAGUUUUUUACAAACACCCAAAAAACUCACUUGCCAAACGGGCCCGUUACCAUCCAACGGGCAUAAUUGAUCAAUCUAGAAAAGUUUAAUACAAAUUUUGCUUGUCAUUAUAAAUAAUUUGCCUUAACAAGUUCACAUCUUACUACUAUACAAAGUAUGGUAGUCUAACAUACUUGUUUUUUUUUUCCCUUAUUUUUCUGUUCAUUCUUCUUGAAAACUAGCAAAGGAAAAAUAGUGCUGUAAGACGAAUUCCUUGGCUGGGAGUGUUUCACUGCUUAAUGUUAGAAACUUUCGUUUCAUGUAUUUAGGUGUGUUUGGAUACGAGAUUGUUUGAAAAAAAUUAUUUGGAAUAAUAUGGUAGCACUUUUUAUAAUAUAAUUUAUGUGAUAUAAAAAGAUAAUCGAAAAUUGUAUAUAUGAUGUAAGCAAAAAAAAUAUUUAAAAAAUUUUCCCAAAUUAUGGCAUCCAAACGGUAACCUGAACAUUUGUAGUUGGAAAAGCUACUUAGAGAAAAAGCAGCAAUCUUCAUCCUUCAUAAAAGAGUUCCCUAGAUUGGCGUAGCUUAAUUUUGGCAUUUGAAAUCAUAACAUUGUUGCUAAUCUGAAGAAGCCUUCACUUGUCAACUCUCAAAAUUCUUUGGUCUAAACAUGCAAAAAAUUUUCUGAUCUGUCUAAGGCCAGUGGUAAAAGUAUAUGUUUUUCUAUUGAAGAUGUCAAGUUGAAAAUUGUCAAAUGAAUGGGGCAAAUUUACAACAACACUUAAAAAGUAAUAGAAAAAAAAAAGAUAAAGGAUUUAGGUUAAACAUUAUACACGAAAGACAUAUCAUAAAAUACGUAUAUGUGCAUCGUACAUACAUAUAGUAUAAUACAUACCAAAUACAGGUACAAGACAGGGGCAGCAGGAGAGAUGGGUGGGAUGGGGGACCUUGAAAUGACAAGUCAAAUGUCAAAUCGGACGACUUCAUAUCAUAAGACAGUCAGUAAUGUGUUGUCAAUCCAAUGGAUUUCUUUUGUUUGUGAGAGUAAAAAACAACACAUCCCACAAGCUUUCUUAACCAUACUUUUUUUUUUUUGGCCAAACAUUUUUUUUUUGCUUUUUUUAAGUUGUUGUAUGAGUACUAGUGAAAGUAUAAACACCAAAAACGGAAAAAGAAACAAAUUGGUUUGGAUUGACAAAUAUUUUUUAAAAUUGCAUUAUUUACUGUAAAAUUUUUAUUUAAUAUGAUGUAUAUAAAAAAAAAAAAUAUCAAGAAAUAGAAGAAAUUCCCAAAUCGUGUUUAUGUUUUAUAAGAGUUGUCAAAUAGUAAAAGUUAAAAAAAACAUAUGUAGUAAAUGCAUAUUUUGAGUAAUGCAUUCACUACAUGCGUUGUUUAAGAAAUACAUAAUUAUACAAUUUUUAAAAAGCAUUAAGUGAAUGCGUCUUUUACGAAAAAAUUACAUUCGCUAAAUAUGCUUUUCGUCGUUUAGAAAUUUAUUUUAAAAAGUCUCACUUUUCAAAAUUCACCCUCACAGAAUGUGUUUAGGAGAAAAUAAAUUUUAAAAAGUAUCACGGACUCGUUUGGAUUUUUUUUCCUUUAAAAAAUUUUUUACAUUUUUCGUAAAUACAUUUUUCUAAUAUAUAUCACAUUUUUAUCUAAUAUAUAUCAAAUCAUUACAGAAUAUUUUUCUAUAAAAACUUUAAAAAAAUAGCAAUCCAAAUAAAAAGUGCUGAUUGUGUGAAGAUUUAUGAAGCUGAGAAAAAGAUAUUGAAAAAUCAGUUGAAGGAUGUUGAGAAAAUAAGUUUAACCACUGAUUUGUGGAAGUCCAAGAACCAGAAAAUUGAGUAUUUGGUGAUCACAGGGCACUGGAUUGAUUGUUCUUGGAAGCUACAAAAGAGGGUCUUGAACUUUAUCAAUCUUCCUCCACCUCGAAGAGGUAUUGAUAUUUCGGACGCUCUAUUCAAAUGUGUCAAAGAGUAGGGCAUCGAGACCAAAAUUUUUACAAUUUCGGUCGACAAUGCCUCAGCUAAUGAUGUGGCUGUCAGGUUACUGAAGGAGACGUUUUCAAGGUGUAACCACUUAGAUUGUGGUGGCAAAAUUUUUCAUGUUCGAUGCUGUGCUCAUGUGCUGAAUUUGAUGGUGCAACAUGGUCUCGGGGAGAUUCUAGACAUAGUAGAAAAUGUUCGUGACAGUGUUGAAUUUGUGGGCUGAAGAGAAAGUCGACAAAUUUUAUUUUCAGAAAUUGUGCAGCAGCUUCGACUCCCCGGAAGAAAGCUUAUUCAUGAUUGUAGGACACGGUGAAACUCUACAUUUGAGAUGUUGAACUGUACAAUCAAAUUCAAAGAGGUUUUCCCAAUGUAUCGAGAACGAGACGUACAAUAUUAUUGCUGUCCAUCCGAAAAAGAUUGGGAGAAAGUUGAAAAAGUAUGCAGCAUUUUAGAGACAUUUUGGACAACUACGAACAUCAUUUCAGGUAGCGGCUAUCCAACUUCAAAUUUGUUUCUUCAAGAAAUUAAGAGAAUAAAACUAGUUUUGGAUAGUAAGGCUAAUGAUGAUGAUGAUUUCGUAAGAGCAAUGGUGAGAAAGAUGAAAUUCAAAUUUGAUAAGUAUUGGAAAAAAUGUAAUCUAUUAAUGGCUGUGGCUGCUGUCUCAGAUCCUCGACAAAAAAUGACUGCAAUAGAAUAUUGUUUUCCUAAACAUUUUCCCCCUAGUGAAGUUCAGCAAAAUAUUGAAAAGGUUAUAAAUGCAAUCUUUGAAUUAUACAAUGAAUAUUUGCAAGCAAAUGAACUACGUGAGGGUGGAAAUAGAAAGGAUUCUCAGGUUCCUUCAAGUAGUGUUUCUCAAAGCAGUGUUUCUGGUUCAAAUUGGGAUAAUUUUGAUGAGUAUGUGAGGGAAUAUCAAACUGGAGCGCCUCAAGAAUUUGAAUUACUUAUUUAUUUGGAAAAGGGUCCAAUCAAGAUUGAUUCAAGUGUGCCGCGACAUGAAUUUGAUUGUUUGAAUUGGUGGAAGAAUAGCAGGCUCACGUUCCCAAUUUUAUCCAAGAUGGCAGCCGAUAUCCUUGCCAUUGCUAUUACUACUGUUGCUUCUAAGGCUACAUUUACCGCUGAAACAAGAGUAAUUGACUCUUGUAGAGCCUCACUAGCUCUUGAAACUGUAGAAAUGCUUAUGUGUGCCGGAGAUUGGUGUCGAAACAUUCAUGGAGUGAAAAAAAAGAUAAAAGUAAGUUUAUUUCAAAUUCAUGUUAUUGAAACAAAAUUAGUUUAUUACUUAUUGUUAUUGUUACUGUUAUUAUUAAUUUGCAGAAAUUGAAGGCAGCAAAAGAGAUUCUACUUCCCAUAAAAUGAAUGUGAUAAUUGGAAAGGUACAUUAUUUGUGUUUAACACUUUGAUUCCUCUUCAAAUAUCUUGUUUUAGAUUUUACCACUAAUAUUUUAUUACUUAAAUUAUUUUUUUUAUAGGGCCUGCAGUUGAAAUUGGAAAGUUGGAAAGGAUUAUCGUGGAAUGGACAAGAAGUUGUUGUUUUACUGCUUUAAUUGCAAAAUUUGUUUCACUUUUUUAAGUAUGGUUAUUUUUUGACAAUUGACAUUGCCUGUUGAAGACAUUCACUUGAAUGUUAAGUUGUUGACACUUUGUCUUUGUUGUUUCUAUUUGUGUGACUUGGUGGAUGUUGGUUGUCUGACUUAUCUUUGAAUUUGGAUGCUGGUUUUGAUGUUAAAAUAUGUAUGGAUGAAUUUGGAUAUUGGUUGACAACUUGGCAUUAAACUGCUAAAUUUUUGACAGUUUGAUGCUUUGGCUUUAAAUUGAUAUUUAAAGUUGGCUUGUCUUAGAUUCUCAAUCAUAUGGAUGAGUUUGGACUUUAGACAGUGCUGUUCAAUGAUUUGGUUCAGAUAAAAGGCUGAAUAAAGGACAAAUUCUGCUUAAGGAUAUUGCAGACUGACUUAUUUGUAUUCUGUGUCCAGGCAUUAGAUGUAUGACUUUAGCCUAACAUGUAACAAAUGUCAAGGCUAAAAAGGAUAUUGCAAACUGACUUAUUUGUGUUCUGUGUCCAGGCAUUAGAUGUAUGAUUUUAGCCUUAAUAUGUACCAAUGUCAAGGCUAAAAAGGAAUCAAAUGAAUAUGAUUUUAUCUGACUAACAAGAUACCUCUAUUGUCCCUCUUCGAGUUGCUUGAAAUAUUGAUUACUAGAGUAGAUAGUUUGAACGACAUAUUUUAACAAUAACAGCUUGUGCAGUUACUUGGUGUAUAAAAAAGUCUUGCUCCAAGAUUUAGUCAAACACAUUUUAAAAUAUCUGUGUUAGUUAUUAACAUUUUUGUGCUCGUUACCCCUUUCAUUGUAUUGCAAAAUGUCGUUGAUAGAGGAGUAUCUUUGUGUAGAUCAUUUGGUUCAGCAUUCAACAGGUUUUAAACGAGCACAAUUUUAAUGGACCUUCGAGCUCGAGCUCGACCGCAAUUUGAGCAAUUUCGAGUUCGAGUUCAACCACAAUUCGAGCAAUUUCGAACACGAGCUCGAUCCUCACGAAUUCCUUACGAAUCGAAUUCGAGCAUGUAAAAUUAAUAUUCGUCGAUCUCGAACCUUAAGCACUUUGUCGAACUCGAACUCGAUCAAACUAAUAUUCGAACUCGAUUCGAUUCGUUGACACCCCUACUACAAGGCUAUAUAUAUCACAAUGAAUUCAUUCUAGAAAUGUAGGGAUUUAGUCUCAACUUUAACUUGUGAUGGUUUAAUAAUUAAUUUCACUUGAGAACAAGCAACACAAGAGAAUUCAUUGGUUUUUAAUACUUUUUGAUUUUUUAAUGAGUGGUCAUGUGAAUUCUCAAUUAUUUGUCUCAUCAUUAUAGAUUCAGGAUUUCCGAAACGAUUAUGCUAAACCAUAAAAUCAUUAGGAAGAGUAGACUUCUGGUCUACUAGGUGAUGAAUUUCCAUUUCACCAAUUUGUGCAUAAUAUAAGUCAGAAGAAAAAUAAGAUAAUUUUUCUGCUAUGCAUAUUUGCCCAGAAAUGAGACUUGUAAUUAAUAAAAAUUCACUGGGUUUGUUUGGAUAGGGUAUUAUUUGAAAUAUUAUUUGGAAUAAUUACUGUAGCAGUUUUUGUGAUGUGAUGUAUGUGAGAUAAAAAGAUAAUUGGGAAGAUAAAAAACUGUAUUGGAAAUUGUAAUGGUGAUGUCAGUAAAUAUAUUUGACCAAAUAAUCUGUUGUCCAAACAAACCCACUAUUUGUCUCAGUCAUUGUCUUGACAUGAUAUCCAUUUUUGCGGAUAUCUUUAAAACUCAAUAAGUUUCUCCGAGACUUGGGAGAGAAUAGCGCAUUAUUUACGAUAAUUUUAGUUCAUUCAGGGAGAAAUAUAGUGGCUCUUCCAAAGCUUUCGAUCAAUUUUGCACUAUCACUGAUGGUAUUAACAUUUGUUUCUCCAAUUUUCAAACAAAAAAAUAUUUUUUAUUUUUUAAUAUGGUGUGCGUAGUAGCACUACCAAUGAGACAAAUGUCAUCAUCACUAUUAUUUAAUCUCAAAUAUUUGACAUCCAUUUCUUUUUCAGGAAAAAAAAUUCAAACAAAAAUAAAUAUUAGUAAAGAUGCGAAAAUAAAUAUUCAAUGGAAAGAAAAUUACAUGAAAGAUAUAAAGCAUCAUAUAAAUAUCUAAACAAUCAUGGGAUAUUUGUUGACAUCUUCAGGAUGCUCAAAAAAAAUCAACUAUAUCGAGGUGUGCCAUAUCAACAUUAUCACUAUCAUCAUAAUUAUUCUUUUGAUCAACGAAAUUUGUUUCAACACCUUUGUCUUUCUUUUUCAAUGAUGCUUGAUAGAGGUCAACAAAAUGCUCAACCGUACGAUAGGUACGGGACCAAUAACCUUCCAUACCACACCGAUAACAUUUUUCUUCAUAAACUUUCUUUUCUCCAUUUUUCUGAUCGUUGUUAUUUUCCCUCUUUUGCGAAAUAUUUUGUUAUUUGCCACGGUUAUAAUUUUCAUGGGGCACAAAUCUACUACGGUCGCGUCCACGGCCACGACUACGUCCACGGCCUCCUUCACGGCCACCUCUACGGCUAUGUCCACGACCUCGAUCAGAAUUUUGAAAUUGAGCCGCACUCACUUUAGGGAAUGAAUUUGCACCAAUUGGUCGAGACUCAUGAUUUUUCAGCAAUAAUUCAUUAUUUUGUUCAGUCAAAAGAAGACAUGUGAUAAGUUUAGAAUAUUUUUUAAAUCCUUUCUCUCGAUAUUGCUGCUACAGGAAUAUGUUAGAGACAUGAAAAGUAGAAAAUAUCUUCUCUAACAUAUCUUCAUUAGUGACCUUUUUGUCACAUAAUGAUAAUUGAGAAGUGAUUCUGAACAUGGCUGAAUUAUAUUCGUUGACAUAUUUAAAAUCUUGCAGCCGUAAGUAAAGCCAAUCAUAUCGGACUUUUGGAAGAACGACCAAUUUCAGGUGGUCGAUUACUUCUUUCAAAUCUUGCCAAAGGACAAGAGAAUCUUUUACAGUAAGAUACUCUAUUUUUAAUUUUUCAUCUAAAUGAUGACGAAGGAAAAUCAUAACUUUGGCACGGUCUUGGUUUGAGAAUUCAUUUUUUCGACAAUAGUGUUACCAAGACCUAUUGCCUCAAGAUGAAUUUCAACAUCCAACACCCAUGAUAAAUAAUUUUUUCCAGAAAUAUCAAGAGAUAAGAAUUCUUGUUUUGUAAGAUUAGCCAUAAGAAAUUAAAAUAAGUUUUGAGUUAGAAAUUUAUCUCAGAAGUCACUUGAAGAAAUACGGGCAAAAUUUCGGCAAAAUCUUGUGCUUCACUUUUGUUCAAGGUAGAGCUUUCGUUUUCACCUUUUGCUCAAAAGUAGAGACUUGUGCUGAUAACGUAUUGUUAAACUAAUAAACUACUAUAGUAUGAAUGGAGCUAUUAGAGAAAGAAAUAGAGAAAUAGAGAGUGGUAUUCUUAUAUUUCAACUAAUACAAAAGUCCCAAAAAGGAUGUCAAUGUACCUCUAUAUAUAGGUACUAUAAGAGUAAAUGUAUAUUAAUCUUAUUAAAUACCCACUACUACAAAAAUAUGAAGAAACCUAUAAAACGGUUUUUUCAUUAUAUGAAUAGAUUUAUGGAUUGUAACUUCUAUACAUAAUAUAACUAUAAAUCAUGAAUUAAUUCUCUUGAGAAUACAAAGGGACAUCCACAUUUUAGUUGUUUCAUAACAAAAACAAAAAUAUCUAUUGAUCCAUUAAUUCUCUUUAAUUAUGCAUACUAGAGAAAACAGUUGAUUGAAAUAAGCGCUUUUAUUUUUUAAAUAAAAAUAUCAUCAUUCAUUAAAUCUACACUAAUGGCAGACAUUACAUCAACAAUACAUAGAUACAAAUACAUUUACAGAACAAAACUAGAUACCAUAGAUUUGAAAAGUCAAGAAAAUAUUACAUUGUGAAACUUUAAAAAAUGCUUAAUAUAUAAAACACUUAUAAUUCUGAGAUCAUUUGUGUAUGUUUCUAACCAGACUACUUAAUAUUCUCAUUGUUGCUUCGUAAUCGAAAAAAAAAAAUCGCACUGCUUGCUUUCCCCUAGGUGUUAAUGUGAGAUUAGACGAGAUAGAUAUAAGAAAUCCCAAUCUAACAUAUAAAUUGGAAAAAACUUAUAUCAAUAAAAGAAAUAUAAAAAUCACUAGAACUCUUACUAAGAAUCCGUAGAAAAGAAGAAAAACUUAGGAAGGACUUUAUGACAAAUAAUAAUAAUAAAAAAAGGACAAGGGACGAACGAAGACCAAUUGGUCUUCCUCCCAAGGAAGAAGAGUUUUGUUUUUGAGAAGAAAGAAUAUAUAUAUAUAUAUAUAUUUGUAUGACAUAAAUUCACAAGUCCCUAGACUCCAAAUUUUAGUAAAGAAGAAGAGACUUAUUUUCUACAUAGUUAUGUUAUACUCCAUGACAGAUCUGAAAAGAUGUUUCUUCACCCCUUUUUUAUUUCUUUUAUUUGUUCUGCUAUAUGAAUAAGGGAUGAUUUCAGAAACCUUCCUUGAGGUUUCUGACAAUUUCACUCAACUCCUUCGAGGUUUCAAUAAUUGCAUAAACCUUCAAAAAAUAUUUCUUAUUAUUUUACGUGCCAUUUCUUAAUUUUAAAGAACAAUUUCUAUCAAUUUUCUAAUUUUUAUCUUUUCCUCCCUCUCUCCAUCUCUCUUUCAUACUCUUCUUUCUUUUCUCCUACAACCACUUCUUCUUCUCAUCAAAUACCGCACUCCAUUGUUACUAAUCCCACUGCUAUCAAUUUUUUACCAUCUCUAAAAUUUAUCUAUACUUUUUUGUCUUCCUGUCUCUUUCUUACUAUAAAAAUUUGAGACCUUUGCUUUAAAAGAAAAAAGCUUUACUCUUUACAUAUGUUAGCCAAUUGAAGUUACCAGAUUAACAAGGUGCAGACUGUGGAUUUUAUUGUCAAAUUAGUAGAAGAUGAAAAAGGUCGUAGUGAUAUAGGGAAAAAAUGAAAUUGAGAGUUGGAAGAUAAAGAACAGACUAUUAUGUCUAACAAUUAAAAAACUCAUUGGUUCUCUCUUUUAUUUACUUAUUGAUUGUAGAUUUAGUAUGAAGGUAGAUUUUGUCUCUAUUUCUAAGAGUGCUAGAGCAAUGAUGAAUUAUGUUCUUAGGGACAUAGGGGCAUUUUUUGAUUUAGUAUUGGUAGUUGUGGUAGUGAGUUGUAUUAGGAAGAAUUAGCAAGUAAUGAAUUUUGAGAUGAAUUGGAGUCGUUGGACUUUGUUUACUUUUGUGAGUAUGCUACGUACAAGAAGUUAAAGACUAAAAUCUUGUUUUUGUUUUGUCUUGUUCUCUAGAAGAAGGGUAUUUUAGGAUAUUUGUGAAAAAAUAUAGGCUAUUGAGUCUAUAUUGUUACGUAAACCUUAAAAGCGACGGAAGUAGGUGUAAUUUUUAAAACUUGAGGGGAGCUCUCUAUAAUUGCUGGAAACCUUAAGGGAGGUUUUUGAAAUUAUCCCUAUAAACAACUUUAAAUAGCCAUUUUAUAUUUUGGAAAGACUGAAUGGCUUUUUAUUUUUUGAUCUUUUUGUUUAAAGUGAAAGAAUCUGUUACGUAAAAUACUGAGACUUAUUAGAAACAACAUUAUUCUUUACCAUUCGCCAUUUAUCUUAUUCUAGCAAAUCACUUCAAUCAAUUAGUAGUAUUGGUUACGAUAUCAGAGUUAAAAGGCAUACUCCUUGUUAUCUUGUAGAAAACAUGAACAAUAUACUUAUGUUUUCUCAUAUAACAAAAAAUUUCCAGCCCAUAAUGGGUUCAGCUAAAAACUUCCAUUUGGCCAGCAAGAAUUGCUGUUCACUGAAGUUGAUUUUAAAGGAGACACAGCAUCAAUUCUUGAGAAGUACUUUCAUACUUUAUAGUAGUAAUACCUAAUAUUGUAAAAAAAAAAAAAAAACAGAGAUAUGAAAAAAUAAUGUAUCUAGGGCAUGAAAUUAGAUACAAAAGCAGUUGGCCGGGUUUCAUGUAUAAAAUCUCUUUUAGCCCAAGAUAUACUCCUAUAAUGGAGCAAAAAUCACCUUUUAGAGUCACAUAAUGGGACACACGACUUGUUGAUUUUUAUUUGAUUCAUGGGAGCAACAAGCUUUAAUUGCUUAGAUUAUGAGACUUUUAGUGAAUAAGAUUAAGGAAAGUGUUGUUGGGAUAUGGAGGUAGGAGGGUUGCAUUCUUUAUUACCGGCCAGGCCAUUACUAGCCAAUCAAACCACUAAUUGCAAUUAUGGCCUGGAUCAGUGUCACAUCACACUAUUUUUUUUUUUUUUUUUGUUAAUAUGGCAUGAAUACUCGUUAUAAAAAGGACUUAGAUGUGUGCUCAAAUCAGUGUAUUCAAAACUUUCACACACAUCCCAAGUACUAAAUAUUUCUCAUUCCAACAUCAAGUCCCUUAACCUUAUGCCAAAAGGUGUCAAAUACAAACAAUAUGUUUCAGUGGGGAGUUAACCAUCAACAGGGGAUAUACAUAGGACAAAAUUUGCUAUAUAUAUAUAUGUGUGUGUGUGUGUGUGUGUGUGUGUGUGUGUGUAGGAUCACCAAAUUAUUUAUCAGAGCUUCAGAAGGUAUCAAGUAGACCCGUGAUAUAUGCUCAAUUAUUUGGGAAGGACAGUUUGGAUUCUACCACACAAUUCACAAUCAGAAUGACUUAAUGAUUGUACGUUUCAACUAAAAAAAAAAGGACAAGACUUGUUACUUAAUCAAAAAAGCUUAGACACUUACAAAAGAAUCCAUCGUUGUUGGGUUCCUAGUAGAUAAACUCUUUUUAUGUAAAUAUUUUGAAGGCGUUGGGUUGGGAUUCCAGGCUAAGAUCAGAAUCGGAACCAUAAAUCCCACCAUAGGCAUAGAGGCAUAGACAGACGGAACCAAAAAAAUAUAUUUUGCGGGAACAAACUUUAACAUAUCUAAAACUUUGGUAUAUGAAAAGUUUCAAUUUACUUAGAUUUUUUUUUUUUUGGACUCUUUAAUUUUUUUUAAGGGAGAAAAGGCUAAUUUUUUAGGACUUGGAGGAGCAGUGGCUCAGUCCUGCGCCUUCCUAGUUCUGUCCCCAACCAUAAGCAUGAAUUUUCAUCUUUCUUCCUUAACUAUGGAUUUUCAUUCUACUAAUGAGUUAGCAACUAUGAAACUCAAGUCGGACAGUAAAGGGUAAAAUAUAAUAACAUUUUCAUUCUCAUAGAAUACUUUUUAUAAUAAUCUGCCCAACAAUAAGUAUAAUAUCUGUUUGGAUAGAGUAUUAUUUGAAAUAAUUACUGUAAUACUUUUAGUGAUGUGAUGUAUGUGAGAAAAAAGGAUGAUUGAAAACAUAAAAACAUAGAAUGUGUUUACGAUAUAAGCAAACUAUUAUUUAGAAUAAUUUACUAUCCAAACAUACAAAUCAAUGUCCAUUUACAACCCUAGUACCCUUUUAUCAAAGACUCCUUUACAUUCCUCGAAAUAAUUAUUUAAAGGCACUUGAUCCUCGAGGGGGAGGGUUUCAAUGUAUUGAAAAUUUGAUUUGGAGGAUGAAUGCACCCUUAAUCAUGAGCCCAUUUGAUUACCAAGUGUACAACCCGAAAGAAUACUUAUUAAAGCUAAAAUCUACCCUUUCGUCCGUAGAAAAGCUGUAGAAGGCGUGGCCAAACCGUGUGCGGCGUGCAAGAACGAUCAUCUUUGGUUACUCACCUUUUGAGCAUGCAAUAUUGCUUAACUGUGUGCAGCCCAUAUUGCCAGUAGAUUUCCGCGUGCUGCCGGAAAGCUUGUUAAGUUAGGUCAGUCCACAGCUUUGAGCUCUGUGAGAUCACGGAACUAUACACCCCACCUCCAGCUCUAUUUCCACCUUAAUUCUUUCUGUUUGUCCAGCUAAAAAAUUUAUCUCUCUCUCUCUCUCUCUCACACACACACACACACACGCAGUAAACUAUGGUUUGCGUUUGAUUUGCCAGCAGCUUAACCUAGAUUGACAUUGACUUGUUGAUUUGAUUCCUUGAGUGGCAUUAUAAUUUCAGGAUAAUUUCAAAAACCUCCUUGAGAUUUUUGACAAUUUCAGUGACCUCACCUGAGGUUUGGGAAAUUACAUUGAUCCCUCCUAGUAGAAUAAGGGGCGCAUUUGCUGACCUCAUCUUGGAUGAAAUUACUCAUAUACUCCAAUACAUUAUUUGAGAUUAGAAACUAAAAUAUGAGAAUUAAGUAAUUAUGACACAAAUCAACUAAUUAACGAAAUUAUUUGUUAACAGCAUGAACUGUAGCAUGGAAGAUACAAAAUGGCGCCAAUUUGCUACAUCAAUUGGCGCCGGUUUGUGAUUGAUAGGAUUUGACAUGACCACAUUUUAAUCGUAUACAAGAAAGGUUCACAUAGAAGUACAUCAAUUGUGAUUGUAGCAAAUUGGCGCCAUUUUGUGAUCGAUAGGACUUGACAUGACCAUAUUUCAAUGGUAUGUAUACAAGAAAGGUUCACAUAGAACAAAGGAAGUACCGAGAAAAGAAAUAUAAAAACAAGUUUGUUCUUGAGGAUUUUUCCCUUAAUUUAGAAAUUAAAGAGAUGGCCUUUGUAUCAAGGUAAUUUCAUGGAAGUGGCUGAGAAAGGAGGUAAAGAAAAGACAAGAUUGGAAGUUUUUUUCAGUGCAAAAUCACAAAAGGCAUACCCUAAGUUAGAUAAAUGAUCUCUACUAUUCUCAGUUUAAUAUUUGAAAAGUAUAAUCUUAGUUAAAAAUCAUGACAUUUUUUCGAGACAAUUAUAACUGCAAUACAUCUUGACUGAUAAUUCUUCUUACUAAUACAACUUGACUGAAAUGCAUAAAGGGCAUUUGUGAGACAAAAUUUUCAUCUCUCUCUUGGAAGUAAUUUUUUAAUCAUACUUUUUCAAAGAUGGCCUGAUUUUGUUAUCAAAUCAUAAAUCUUAAGGGAGGUUAGUAUAAUUUUACAAAUCUCAGAAGAGAUUAGUGAAAUUGUUAGUAGCCUCAAGGGAGGUUUCUGAAAUUAUGCUUCCUUUCCUUAUGGCUAGACUUUUAUCCUAGGGUGCAUGAAACUGACACUUUUAAUGACUUAACCUUGUAUAAGGGGCUUAAACCAUAGAGAUCAAUCUUUCACAAUCCUUUCUCAUUGCUUCGUUUUUUUUUUUUUUUUUUUUCCAUUCUUUUCGGUGUGUGUGGAAAUAGUUAGAUGUAAAGAAGUAGUAGUAGUUAGUCUGUACACUCUUCAACUUAUCAUUCUGCGUUGCAACUUUAUCCACAAAUUAAAAGUCUUCAUCGAAACAGCUUUAGCUAGCGACCUCUAAUACAUGCCAUUUGGAUUUGAUUAUUUAUCCCAAUAACAAAGAGCCUCCUGAACAUGCCCUUGGCAUGAUAAUUAUUAAUGAGGUGCUCCAAUUUCAUCUCAGGAAAUAUGAGAGUUUUCCAAACCGAAACUUGCUCUUUUUUCUCUCAUAUUAAUUUUAGAAUUUUUAUAACGAAUGCCCGGAAAAUGAAUAUGCUUACAGGAAGAAGCUUCAUAACAGGUUAAAUCAUUUCACUAUCAGCCAGCUGUUUUGAACGUGCCAAUUCUUAUGGUACAUGGAAAAGCUGGAGUGCAGGAGGGGGAUUCACUAAGUUGGGCUCCUCCAUGUUCGGAGAAAUUUCUGGGUUUUCUUGGACAGAUAUAAUAACUAAACAACAUAGUCUUAUCACCAGCCGAUAGCACACGGUUUGUACUGGUGUUGAUAUAAUGAUACUAAUAAGUCUUGGUUGAUAAUCCAAUUUAGCACUUAAAUUUAAUGUAUUCAGAUAUUAAUAUAUUCAAAUCAUUUGACAACUAAAAAUUGAACGUCUAAAUUAAUUAAGUGGCACUGAAUUUUUUAAGUAAAACUUACUUCCAAAAUUAAGUGAUAAUCUAUUCACUUAUUACUAAAUGUAAUAUGCACUCAAAUAUAUUAAAUUUAAUAUUUAACAAUUCAAUAAUGUAAUAGAUUCAGAGUUCAGAUUUUAGAUUCAGAUUUCAGUUUUAUCAAACGUACACUUAACAUCUGCUUCUUUGAUCAAUAGACAAUAGCACGACUGCUUUGAUGUAUGUGGAGUUGUUCCGUUCGUACAGAGAUGACCUUGAUCAUUUGCACAAUAAAUUCUUGAUCAGCUCAAAAAAAAGGAAAAAAGAAAGAAAAUGUAUUGGGAGCUCUAUGCAAUUUUAUUUUAUUUUUUUGCCCUUCUUCAUCUUUUCAGACGAGGAACUUCCCCCAUAAAGUCCAAUGUGCGGCAUCGGCUCAAAUUUCUCAUCUAGCACACCGUUUUAAUUAGCGGUCAGACACCAAAACGUGCUGAUUUUCACUGUUAGAACAUAGUAACAUAAUAAUUGUGGGCAUGCGGAAGAGAAAAGGAAUGAUAAAAUGAUGAAUUCAUUGAUCUUGCUUGUCCUUUUAUAUUAUUAUUAUUAUUAUUAUGAAAAAUAGUUUUGGCAAUGAAAUUUGUGGAUCUCAGUGUAACUUAGAAAAGAAAAUAUAUAGAUUCUUUUUUUUUUUUGUCGAAACAAGAAAAUAUAUAGAUUCGAAUAUCGGAAUUCUGUUUUUGCAACAAAUUUGAAAAAUCUUUUGUAAUUGAAAUUCAACGAAAUGAAAAAACUUUUGGUUAAAAGCAUUUAAAGCCAUAAAAGCAGAAGAAAAGCUGCUGCAAAGUAGAAUAUCAAUUUUCACCGUGUGGUAAGACAUGAACUUGGCUCAAGGGGGAAAAGAUUACAAAUUUGUUAAAUUCGAGAAAUUUUAACUUGAUAAUAAUAAUAAUAUUACUCAAACCAAGAGACUGGUCAAAUAAACUUCGUGCCCUGUGACCAUUAAUGGUUAUUCGUUCUUGGGAUUUGGAAUUGGUAUACACUAGAAUUUUCUAUUAAUUGCUUGCAUAAAUAUUCGUAGGAAAUUACGGAGUUCUAUAAAUGUUAUCUUUUAAUUCUUCAAAUUUGAAAAGAUAUUCUUCCAUCUGUUGCAUUUGUUUGGUAUAUUUUCCACUAGUAAUGUGGCUUUGAUGUCAUCAUUUCAAUUAUUGAGAGUUGAAAAGAAAAUUUCCUUCAUCAAAAAAUCUUGAAUCUUGAUUAAGGUUGAAUGGACCCAACUCGGCCAUCUUCUAUUUUGGGUUCUCUCUCAGUUUUUCGCGGAAAGAGCAAGCAAGGCUCGUCAAAAUUCAAUCAUCAUGUCUUAUUCCAUAGUCCCACUGUGGGAUAACCGUCACAAAAGAAAAUCAUUAUCAAAGAAAAAGUAUGAUAAACUUUCAAAUGAUUUUCAACCCCUUUACAAUUUGGAAUUAUUUUGUACAGUAUAAUUUUUUCCCCCCUUAAAUAAAGAUACCUUGAUAGAGCAAGAAAUUCUCAUCACCCUACAUUAUUAUAUUUGGUUACUAUGUGACAAACUUCGGAUUUAUAUACUGAUAUUAUACGAAAAUUUGUUUAUCACUAAUCAAAAGGUUUAGCUUCAAAUUCUGAACUUGACAAUUGAGGGUGGGAAGGAUAUAGCGAGGGGUCGAAAAAAUAAAGAUUGAAAUAGGGUCGUGAUGAUGAAUGCUCAAUAUUACAACACAAUCACUAUCAUCUUGCAAUCGUAUACCAAUAUAAGUUAUCUUAGUUGGAAAGAUCGGAUCACUUCCUUACAAAAGAUCGCGUGUUGCUAUCCUACUCUGUGUAAAUGUCCAAUAAAUUUGACAAUGCACUCAAACAACAAUGUUCUCAAUAAUCUACUAGGAGGUUCUUUUUUGAUUUGCCUUGCCAAUCUUGUCAAAUAAACAUGUCGUACAUAGGAGCUUCUAAUGCGCACUAAUCGGUCACAAAAGAGUGGGAUGAAUUAAUACAAGCCUCUCUUUACCCCAUCAAUCUGUCAACAAAAUCUUUUGCUUUUGGCUAACUUACCUAGGGAAAAAACAAAAAAGAGGGAACAGAUGUAAUUUUUCUUAAUUUGAUUACUGUCCAAAAGUGAAUUAGUAUCAUUUUGCUACAAAAAUUCCAAAAAAUAGCAAUCCAAAUGAAUUCUUAAUCUUCAGAAAAAAAAAAAAUUUCCCACUUUACCUUGGAAUAAAAUAUGGCAAAUAGAUAAGUGUGACGGCUUCCAGCCUCCUCCCAAGUUCAAGGAACUGAAAAAUCAAUAGUCCAAUGGGAAGUCUAAACAAACCAUAGACGUCUGGUUCAAAAUUGGAAAUGUAAUCGAACCAUUCAUACCCCACUAUAACCACCUCAAACCAAAGACCAAAGUAACAAAUUCCUCCAUGGCUGCCAAUUCUUAAGCCAAUAAAAUUGUCAUUCUCAUUUAUGCCAAAAAAAAAAAAAAAAAAGACCGGGUGACAAAAUCAUUCAACAACGAUUUUAAAAUAAAGUGAUAAUUGUCUUCAUCUAGCUUAAAUCACUUGGGAAAAUAAUGAAAAGGACAAAUUUGCCCAAAUCAAAAUCACACAUUUAGGAGAACCCAUUCCACACUAAUUAAAGAAGAAGCCAAAAAAUAAUUUCACAAAUGUGUUUUUCAAGUGCAUAAAUUAGCUUUCAUGCUGCAUCCUUUUUUUUUUCCUUGAUGUAUAUUGCAACUCUUGAAAAUACAUCAAAACCUUUUAAGGUUGAGAGUCAAUAACAUCAGCGAACUAACUUUGUUUGGGUUGCAUUUUUCUGGACUUUUUGUAGAAAAAUUACUGUAACGAUUUGAUAUAUAUGAAGUAAAAAAGUGGUUAGAAAAUAUGUCCACGAAAAACGUACCAAUUUUUCAAAGAAAAAUUGCAAUCCAAACACACCAAUUUUGCAUGAAAAUCAACAUACACAUUGCAAAUGGAAAAAAAAAAAAGAAAAAAAAACAAUUGCAACAUUAAUUUUUACCGUUACUCUUCACCUAAAAGCAUUUCAUAGGUACUUUUUCUUUUGUCUCUUUUUCCAUUUAAAUGAGACGUAUUGUUUUAUGAUUUUAGAAAUUGUAAUGGAGCGAAAUGAGAAAUUGUCAACGAGUUUGAAUGGUAAAUCUCCCAAGUAAGGUGGUUGUUAAAGUUUUGAUCAGUGGAUUCUGAUAUCCUAAUACUAACUAAAUUAUAUUAAAUUCAUUAAAAUCAAAAUCUCUCUUCUUUUUUUUUUUGUAACAAUGAUGUAAAAACCUAGUAUUGCUCAUUUUAGAAAGUAUAACUCGAUAAUAUUCCAGAAGGGUUCGGUUGGGUGGUAAAAAAAUGAGAGAUUAUAAAUAUGAUAUUUUAAAUUCAAAACCUCGUACUUACCCAAAAAAAAAUUAUUAUUACCAUUCAAUUGGUAUUAUUUUUGCCUUGGCAAAAUCUUAGUUCAUGAACAGGUCUCUAGUAACCGUGCCCCUUAUCUUCUUCAACGAAUCACUGGAAAAUCGUCAAGUAGGUCAACAAUCAACAUAACAAAUAUUUAAAACAGAAAUUUACAUGAAACUUUCUAGAUGCAACGCCCGAAAAAGGGGAAAAAAAGAAAUAAGAAAGUAAUAAUUGAUGAAAUUGAGAUCCUCCUAUAAGAUUAAUUCUCCUUCGGUUAUACGAAAUUUCACCUAGCAUUUCUACGAAGUUUCCUUUCCAUCUUUUAGUCUCAUGCAAAUCAAGAAAGUUGAUCUUGCGACUUAUCUGCUAGUAUUCCGUGAAAAACUGAUCCACAAAGGGUAAUAAAGAAAAUCCCUAAUCAAACGAAAGUCAGUCAUUAUUAGAGAAUAAAAAAUUACUCAUAAAAUUGAAAGAUUCGAGAUUCUAAAUGCUACUUAAUAAACAAAACGGCUAUUCUAAUUCCAGUUGCCCCCCCCCCCCCCCCCCAAAAUAUUUCUAAUAACAUAAAUUAAUUAAAAACAAUUCUGCAAAAACAAAAUUAUAAAUUAAUUAAAAUAUUUCUAAUACUAACAACAGCUUUAUUCCUAAAAUAUUCUAGCUAAGAAGAACAGAAAACCGUACCAGUACAAGUACCCACGUCGCACAGUCAAAAUGGAAUAUGUCACCAGACUGAACCAAAUUUUCCUACUUUUUUUUUUAAAAAAAAAAAAAGAAAUUUACUACUUUUCAAGUCCAAACGGAGCCAAGUACUUGGCUUUGGUCCAAUAAUCAGGGAACGACCCUUUAAAUCAUUCUCACUUUUAUUAGGGCUUGGCUAACCAGGGCUCUCGAUCCACUCAUCAAGAGGAUGGGUUCAAUUGUUAAUUUUUUAGUAAGAAUAUAUUGCAUUUUUUUUCUUAAACAGAUGUUCAUUAGAUACUGAUUAACGCAUUUAAAAUUUAUCUAACUUGUCAUAUAUAUAUAUAUAUAUAUAUAUGCACAAAUUAAUAAAUAUUAUCUCCUUUUAUAUUUAUAAAUAUUUUUUAUUUUUUUAAUUAAUUUUAUAUUUUAAAAAAUAUUGACACCUGAAAUAAAUAUCUCACACUCGUUGAGAUAGACUCAAAUAUAUUUAUUUGGACAAAAGUGUUCUAGUGUAAGUUUGGUGUGAUAAAUAUAAUAUGGUGUGUAUUGAUUUGAUAAGUUAGGUGUAAUUCAAUAAAUGUCUUUGGAAAAUCUUUUCCAAUUCGGAAAUUUGCCAAAUUGGUCCCUAACAUUUACCAAAAACACUUUUUUAGUCCUUAACAUAAAAAAUCAGCCAAAAUGAUCCUUCACAUUUAAAUUAUGAGCCAAUUUGGUCCUAUUGCUCGUUUUUGCUCAUUUCUCCGGCUAAAAAUAGCACCCCCCUUCACGUGGUCAUAUUUUUAGGGGCAAAACCGGAAAACACAUUUCAUUACCGGUCAAAAGAAGCCAUCUUUCCUUCAUCUAAUCACCGCCGGAGUUUGAAUUAGGUACAUAGGAGGAGGCUCGGUUCCCCCAACCCCAACUCCAACUCCAACUCCAACCCCAGCUGGAAAAGGCCCUUGUCUUUCCUGCCAAUACGGCGCCGGAGUUGUCACCGGCGCAACCUGCUCCGCCUGAGGAGCCUGGGGUGGAGGUUUUUGCUGGUAAAACUCAUCGACUUUCCUCCUGUACAUAUCUUGAUCAUGGCCUGAAAUUUGCAUCUUCUGCAACUCAUGCAUCUGCCGUUGAAUCUCCGCCGCCGGAGGAACCACGGGCUCGCCUAUCACCUGCCGAACCAUAACCGUAGGGGCCACCGGCGGAGGAUCCUGCAACUUCGCCGACGUGGGAUGACCCUUUUCCUAACCAAACAAAAAAUCAGGGCUCCUCGCCGGCUCCUCCACCCCAGAAAUCGCCACAGACUGCGGAGAAGAGCCCUCCAAAUUCUGAUUAAUCUGCGCAGCAUUCAACGCGUCAACAAACCACUGCCUCUCAGCCUUGGAAUCAUCCGACUCAAAACUACUCACGGACGGCGGUGGGUUGGCAUUCAACGGAAAUAUAAAUAGCCUCAGCCUCGCCGGCUUAGCUAAAGACCGAUGAAGACGGUCAUAUUCAAUGAAAUGUGUUUUCCGGUUUUGCCCCUAAAAAUAUGACCACGUGAGGGGGGGUGCUAUUUUUAGCCGGAGAAAUGAGCAAAAACGAGCAAUAGGACCAAAUUGGCUCAUAAUUUAAAUGUGAAGGAUCAUUUUGGCUGAUUUUUUAUGUUAAGGACUAAAAAAGUAUUUUUGGUAAAUGUUAGGGACCAAUUUGGCAAAUUUCCCUUUCCAAUAUCCAAACCAACCAAAAGCAACCCAAAUAUUAAAGUCUAAACUCUUAAGUCCCUAACCAACGUAUUUAAAACCGAAUCCAACCCAAUUAAACUCUUCUAGUACUACUACGACUAUUCAUCAACCUCCUCUCUCUCCCCCACCUCUCUCUCUCUCUUGAAAUUCCCACUCUCUCUCUACGAAACUUCCUCGAAGCUCACUCAUGGCUCUACCCAAAUUCCCAUUUAACCUCCCCCGCUUCCUUUCUCUUUCCCCGCACCCUCGCCUUCUUUCUUCUCAGCAUUUCCCUUGCCCUUUCCGCAACAACAAGGAAGAAAUAAACUCUUCUGCUGCUUUACCGUUCCAGCCACCAUGAAGCUGCCCAAGAUCGACCCGCGAAAGCUGCUGACCAAGUACAAAAGAUCCCAGUCUCGAUCCGUUUCGAGAUCCGAAGACCUGCUGAACUCCUUCAGUUCAUCCGGCACCUCAUCGUCUUCCGAUUCCUCCUCCUCCACUUCCUCUUUAUCCAACUCGAAAUCCGUCAAGAAAAAGCUCAGGACCAGCAAAGGCUCCCCCGCAACGCCGACGAGCGUCCUCCCGCCGACGCUGUCGAGCGAAAUCACCUCCGACGAGUGGUCCGAGAUUUCGGGCGGCGUUUACGAAGACGUGAAGGAGGCGUUCAAGAUGAUUGACAAGGACGGGGACGGGAAAAUCACUCGGGACGAGCUCGAGGCCCUGUUGAGCCGGGUGGGAGCCGAGCCGCCCAGCGCGGAGGAGCUGAACAUGUUGUUGAGUGAAGUCGAUAGGGAUGGAGAUGGGUGUAUUAGUUUGGAGGAGUUUGAAGCGAUCGGCUCGGCUUUCGGGCCGCCGUCUUGCGACUCCGAGAUGAGGGACGCCUUUGACUUCUUCGACACCGACCACGACGGGAGGAUUACCGCCGAGGAGUUGUACAACGUUUUUAGAGUGAUUGGGGACGGGCAGUGCACGCUAGAUGAGUGCCAGCGCAUGAUAAGCGGAGUAGGUAAAAAUGGGGUUGGGUUCGUCUGCUUCGAGGACUUUUCCCGUAUGAUGAUGCAGCUCCAUAGAUGACUGGUUAAUUUGUUUCUUUUUUUUUAAUGGAAAAGAAUAAAUAAUCAAUCGUGAUCUUAAUUCUGGUCCUGGUUUUCGGGGAAGGAAGAAAAUGUCCAAAGUCUGCUGUAAUUCGAUCAUAUCUUUCUCUCUCCUUUUACUAAUUUUCUUCGAAUUUUCCGUGUAUUAAUCGGGAUAAAUAGGUGGGUGUAUCUCUCUCUCUUUUUUUUUUUUUUUUUAUGUUUUUGUUAAUUCAAUCAAGGGGUUGGGAUUACUGAUUAGGGAUUUAGAUCCGAGGAGGGCCAGAAAACCAUUGAGCAAUUGGACGGCUGGGAUUGAUCUCUCUUUCUCGAAGUAGUUGUUUCUACUUUCAUGUUGCGGUAUAUAAAAAAAAAAUUUUGAGCAAAAGAAAAAGAUUUAGGAUGUGUUUGGGUUGUAUUUUUUAUUAUUUUUUAUAAAAAUAUUAUUGAAGUGAUUUGAUAUAUGUGAGAAAAAAAAAAGAUAAACAAAUGUGAUCAUGAAAAAUGAUAAUAUUUUUCGACGAAAACAAGCAAUGGAUGAGCAUGGCUUUAAUCUUCCAAUAUCUAUUGUAUGGACAGUAUGGACUCCAUCAUAUGCUUCACAUAGCAUGGCAGAUGUUAUUCUGUUUUUUUUUUUUCUUAAUAUUUAUAUUUAUUUUUAUUUUUACCUUCUCGUCCCUCUCCUCACCCGCACCAGAGGAGGAGAAGAGAAGACUUGAGUCGAUAGCACGGUUUGGUUUAUUAACAAUAUGUUUGGAUUACUUAUUUUCGUCACAAAAUAUUGUCAUUUUUUGUUAUGAUAUUUUUCUGUCAUUUUUUUUUUGUAUAUAUGAAAUCGUUAUAUAUCAAAUUGUUAUAAUAAUUUUUUCAUAAAAAAUAAUGAAAAAUAUAAUUCAAACACAACCUAAUCAUUUCGACAGCGGAGAAGACUCUAAGCCACUAAGUCGACUGCAGUGGGUUUUAUUCUGGUUCACUAAUUAUCAUGACUUCCAGUGGUAGGGAAGGGAAGACUCCAGUCCUCCCUGACCAACCACUGAGCCGACUGCAGUGGUUUACUAAUUGUAUCAUGCAUGUGAUUAUGUUUUUGUGGAUUGAUUUAGUGUGAAUUUCUCAAAUUAAUUGUUGUUUUGAUAAUUAGUUUUAUUUUAUUGUUAAUUGUUAGUAUUUCUGAAUCUUUGGUUUAGGGAUCCAUCCACUUGACGAAUCUGGCAAUUAAUUAAUGUGAUUUGAUAAGCAAGAAAACAUGGAGAAGGGAGAUGCUUGAUGAUAAGAUAAGGAGUGGUGUAUUAUUGGGCGAGCGAAGGGUCUAGAAUCUUCUGCCCUCGAGAUUUUUUGUUGAUUUUGUGGCGAUCCUUGGCUCCUCCUGUCCUCAUUUUGAUUGCCUUUUAUGCUUGUGAUUCAGCAGAAAUAAUAGAUGUGUGACCGAUUCAACCGGACAUCAGGUGUAAUGUCAUUGGAUCAGUCACUCAACCCUCAUUUAAGAGUUUGAGUUAUUAAUUGAAUAACUAAGACAUGCAACUUAGAGUGCUUAAUCAUCUUACCACAUCUUCUAAAACAUAUUUGAGAAGUGCAAUUUUAUUUUUUUGGCCUAAGACUUUUUUUUUUAUUUUAAAUUUAGAGGUCUUGAAUUCGAAAUCUCUCAUUUUUUAGGAUCUCCAGCUUUUCUUCUCUCUCUUUGUUUUUUUUUUUUUUUUUUUUUUGUAUAAGUAGAAAGUCUUGAAUUUGAAAUAUAUUACUUGUACUCUUUUUCUCGUACCGUCCAACUCAUCCGUGUCUCCUUCCUCUGCUCCAAGCCUUAGCUUGCUCUAUGUUAAGUGACCUUAAUGAUUUCUUUUGAAUCUUAUAAAGUUUGAAGUAUCUCGUUGAAUGAAAAAUUAAAAAAAUUAUAAAAUGUUAAUAAUUUUUCUUUAAAAAAUUCUUAUGUGAUCAUAUAUUUUUUUUAUUUCAAAUAUGUCAAAUUGUUAUGAUAAUUUUUUUUAACAAAAAACUUCUAAAAAUAACAUUUCAAACGAUCUCUUACUUUUGCAAGUUUUUUUCCCGAUCAAGUUUAAAAGUCAGUAGUGCUUCACUCUAUGUAAUUGUGUUGGAAUUAAUUUUGGUAAAACUUACGUGUCAAUUUUCUAGAGAUGACAUUUUGUUUGGAUCGAAUAUUAUUUGAAAUAAUUAUUAUAACACUUUUGUGAUAUGAUGUAUGUGAGAUAAAAAAGAUGGUUAGAAAUAUAAAUAUGAAUUAAAAAAUAUGUUUAUGACAAAAAUAAAAUAUUAUUUAAAAAAAAUUUAAUAUCCAAACACUCAUGUAACAAAAAAUAGAUCUAAUUACCACUCCUAUUUACGUUUAUCCCUAUGCAAAAAAAAAAAAAAAAAAAAAACGCGGGUUUAGAAAGUGAUACGAAGGCCGGGUAUUGAUGAUAUUACCGAUGUGAAAUGGUCAAAGCAGGCCUGUUUUCUCCUUGUAAAAUAGUACUGCCGCAUUGAAAGGUGGUUUAACUUUAUAGGUUAUUGCAAAUCUUUAAUUUUAUUUUUUUUUUUGGUCUUCAUUUUCCAGGAUUAGCGGAAGGCUGAAACAUUAACUCAUGAAGUGACCUUUACACAGGUAACAGUUGUGUUUGAAUGAGUUGGUCGGUGGUUACUGAUUAGUCCAGCACAAUUACUUUGGCUAUAGGGCCCUCAUUCUUGUUGCUUGAAAAAGUUUGUGGGAGGGAAUUAAUUCCUUUGGCAGUGCCCAAGUACAAAGUUCAUUCAUCAUCACAGGUAGUGAUUUCUAUCAUCCUGUUUGGAUUGCAAUUCUCUAAAUUUUUUUUAUAAAAAAUAUAUUAUAUUAAUUUAAUAUGUAUAAAAUAAAAAAAUAAUUAAAAAAUAUAUUCAUAAAAAAAAUAUAUAAAAAAUGGGUUUCCAAGCAAGGACCCGUGCAUCUUAUAUGUCAUGGAUCUGCAGUUUAUCUUUGGUCAAGGAAUGAGUUUCACAUUAUUGUGUAGUUCUGGUGGGCAUAAUUCAUAAACGUAAAAUUGACCACUAAUUGAGUCUUAUUCUAUACACGUUGUAGACAUCUGCGUUAGUAAUCAAAUUUGUCUUGGAUGCCACUAGAUACAGGAAGUGAUUCAUCAAGAAUUAUAUGAGCAAAACUUUUUUGUUUUCUAAGAUUGUUGUCAUCCUAAUGAAUUAGGGCCAAUUAAAGAAGUAAUUAAUCUGGUAAUUGGCGGCAAAAUGAUAAAACAAUUAUAUGUGAAUAUCUCGAAAACUCGUAAUAAAGUAAAUACUGCAAUUAUAUGAGAAUAUCAUGGAAACUUGCAUACUUGGUGCAUCAUUUUUGUUUUUCUAAUUGCGUCUUAUUUGUGUAUUUAUAGCUUUGGAGCCUCAAUAAUCCACUGUUAAUAUUAACAUUCCAUCUUCUUUGUAUUUUUUUUUUUUUUGGGGGUAAAAGUAUAUGAGAAAAAUUGAGCAAAAAGUGGAGCAGGCAAUAACUAUAGCUAUUUCUUGUAUAGAUAUAAUCUUACAUAAUCUUCUUUAAAUUGAAAGAUACAAGCUUAGAUUCAACAUUCAUGAACACAAAAUUAUUUGUUCUCGUUAUUCGAGGCCGCCUUAAAUUAAAUCCCAAAAUGAUGCAUUAAUUCUUAGCUGUUGUGCUUAUGAGAGUGUCCAAAUUUUUUGGUAAACAUUAACAGAAUAGGAUUAUUCCUUUUGGUGUUGUUUUAUUUUGACAGAAAUUAGGGGGUUAGGAAGUCAUUAGUGCUCUCUGUUUUGUCAUCUUUUCUUGUCGCUUCCAAAUUCUAACAAUUAGUUAAGAAGAAGGUAGCUAUGGUGCUAAAAGAUGGUAUAAAUGCAUGUAUGUCAACGGAAAGUUUAGGGCACUUAACAAUUGAAAUGUCUUUUCACGUUAAACUUCCAAGAAACUUCAAACAAGAAAUGGAAAGUUAAAAAGCAAAUGCAUGGAAAAGUUAGAGAAGAAAUUCAAAAGAGGAGUUCUAGUACGGCAAAAUAAACAAAAGCCAAAACGGGCAGUUUUUUAGACGGAAGGAAAGACUUCGAUCAUGUCAAAAGUUGCAACACAUUUCAAAAGCCAUUAAGUUGCUUUCACUAGUUCACACGCCUUGGUCAUCUAUUCCUCUAGAAUACUACAAAGUCGAAACAACCAACAAAUUGAAUCUAUUAUGUCACAAAUUGAAUCUUUCCUAAUUCAGCUCUCAAAUUAGGAAUGGUUCAAACAAUUUCUUCCAACCUUAAAGGUACUAACAACCUCUCCAUUCUGCAAAUAUCUUUCUUUAUUCAAGUUUUAUUGAUUUAUAUAGCGUCAAUCAUUUGGACUACUAUUUUUUAGAGUUUGUGUAUAUAUUGUAGUGAUUUGAUAUAUAUAUAUAUAUAUGUCUGUGUGUGUCUGUGUGUGAAGUAUAAAGGUAAUUGAAAAAUGUGUUCACGAAAAAUAUAAAAAAAUUUUAGAGAAAAAUUACAAUCCGAACAAGAAUUUUGGGGAAAGAAGCUUAAUUUGUUUCACCAUUUAUAUAAUUAGCAGUUAAUGUAUAUAUGCAAAUAAAUGGUUAAUGACUUUCUCUGUAUAUAGCCAAUGUGCCUUACCUCCAACAUUAAAUAAUUUUCCAAGUUGAAUGUUCUGAAGUCUUACUAAUUACUCCCAAAUUUUGAGUUGCAUAAUGUGAAGUAAGGUAUCAUGAGGUUGUAGUUACUAAAUAGAAAAACGGAUACUCAUCAUUUGAAAAGUUGAGCUUUGAACAGAUGAAAAAAAAAAAUUUCUGAUAAGAGAAAAUUUCACCCAAAACAUUAUAGCUAUUCUCUAUACUUCUAGAUUAAGUUAACCUGAAAAAAGAAAAAGAAAAGCUCAUUCCAGGAAAGACACCUUCGAGGAAGUUUUAGACGUAAAUCUUUGCUUUUCAAAAGUCCUAAACACAAAAAGAUGUAUACAGAAUCUGAACUCCAAAAAAUCUGACAAAGGAAGAAGGAGCUCUUAAUCUCAAAGUCUUCAACUUGAUCUUUCUUUUUAUUGUUUGACUAAAGACUUACUGGUUGUGCUUGGAAACAUAUAAUAGUUAAGAUAUUUUCUGAGAUGAAAUUGACUUGGUGUACUUAACCACCCACCACCCUUCCCCCCCCCCCCCCCCCAACAACAACAAACACAAAAUGAAAAAAAAAAAAAAAAAAAAAAAAGGAAAGAAGACUUGGGUACUUUUGGGUACUUGGUUAGUAUAACAAUCCAUUGAAGACGUGUCAAGGGAAUUGACCAACCAGCAUUGAUUUCUUGGGUUCAGAAAUUCUUCUUAUAAACCAAAUCGGUUUAUGGAUCCGGAUACAGUGGUUCGUUAUCGAAUUGAUUGUAGAGAUGACACUAUGACUCUUUCUAGCACUAGAUAAAGAUGAUUUAAUCAACUUUGCUUGCACUAAUUAUGUGAUAGUGAUCUUUAGGUGACAUGCAUUUUCGAGUGGAAAGAGACUUGUAUAAAUUUAUGAAAGAACAUUUCAUAUGUGAUACUUUCAGCAUUUGCAUACUGUAUAUCAGAAUUUGUAUUUGUAUUAUUGUAUGUGUGUUUUAUAUAUAAAAACAUAUACAUUUAGUGUAUAAAAGAUUAAUCUUAUAUAUAUAUAUAUAUACAUACAUAUAUAUUUUGAGUAUCUGUACAUAUGUAAGUGGAUGUAUACGAUUUUUAUGGAAAGAUUCACCUAAGUAGGUGUGCUUUAUGAUUAAUUUUCAGCAGAUAUUGCGUUGUUACCAAAAACUUUUGUUUCUGGUCUUUUGCUAUCUAAAACACAUUUUUUCCUGUCUGCUCAUAACCAGAUUGAACAUUUUGAUAAAGGGCAGCGCUUUCUCAUUUUACAACAGUCAAAAGUUCCUUGUCCUUUUCGACCUGCUCUUACCCUUCUAAAUUAUUUUAUACAAUAUUUACGGUGCGUUUGAUAAAAUUGAAGUUUAAAAUAUGAAAUUUAAAUCCAUUAAGUUAUUGAAUUGUUGAGUAUUAAAUAUAAUACAUUUGAAAGCAUAUCAUAUUCAGUGAUAAAUGAACAACUUAUCACUUAAUUUUGGGAGCAAGUUUUGUCUAAAAAAUUCAAUGCCACUUUUCAAAUGUUUAAAUUUUUGUUAUCAAAAAUUUAAGUACUGAAUUGGGUUAUCAAAUAGGGCCUUACUCUGCUCUCUAUGUGGGUAUAAUUACAUAUAUUAAAUAAGUAAGUAGAUAGAUCAAUUAUAUUUCCACCCAAGAUCAUUAUAAGGGUCCUUAAUUUUGUACAACCAUAUGCAAGGAGAUUUAAUUCAGUACUGAACCCACAUGCUUCUUGGUCAAAACAAUCAUUCUUGAUUCUCAUUUUGGAUUGCUUAAUUUCCUCACAUGGUUUCAUGUGCUUUGAUACACAUUUACAGUUAUUUUGGUUAAGAAGGUAUGUUGAAGCAACAGCAUUAAAGUAGGAGAUUUAAUUUUAUAUUGAUCUCCAUGUGAUUGAUUCUUGAAAUUCAUUCCCUGGCCUAGCUGUGAAAACAGGUUAAUUAAGUAUAAGAAAUAAUUCAAGGUUAAACUAAAUAUCAAAAUAAAUAGAUGGAGGGCUCGUGGCCUUCACAUUACUUAGCAUUAUAAAAUUCAUUGUAGACUCGUAGUUCGACAAUUGACAAGAUACUUUUGUUGUUUAAUUUGUUUAACUUAAUCAGAGUAAUUGACCAAUUUAAGGGAAUGUAUGCAAGAAUGUUUUGGACUCAUUUGUUGUACUUAAUUGAAUUAGUACGUACGACAUGACAUAAACUUCAAAAAGAAAAUAGAUCAAUUUAGUCAUAAACUUCACAAACUCUUUUUGUAUAAUUAAGUACGAGCUUGUUGUACCUCUUCCAUGUGGCUAAGCUACCAAUCCUUUGGCUUGCAUGUGAUGUGACCGUCAAAAAGUAGAAUAAAAAAAAAAAUGAAUAGUUUCCUUAAUCUUUGUAUGAGUUCUUGUUUUGCAUAAUUUUUUUGAUACAUCAUCAUCAUCAUAUAUUUUUUUUACAUUAGCAUAUUUAAAUCAACAGCACAUAACAUGAAUUUAAAUUUGAAAUUUAAACUUGAAAUUCAAAUCAUGCAUAUGUGACAUACAUUUUAGAGCCGCUAAUGCAAAAAUUCACUAUACUGUCAGUGUAUAAAAAGUUAGUUCUUACUCCCUCCGUCCCACUUUGAUAGUCCUGUUUCUUUUUUCACACAGUUUAAGAAAAAGUAGUUAACUUUGUUGGAAAAGUAAAUUUAGAUUGCUAUUUUCCUAAAAUACCCUCACAUUAAAUAGAGUACAACUUUAUGGGAACUUGAAUUGAUGGUAAAAAAAGAAUCAACUCUCAUUAAAUAGGGUAGGUUUAUAGCAACAACAACUUGUAUUGAAUAAGGGUAUUUUAGGAAAAUGAAAAUAUAACUACAUUCUUCAAUUGGAAAGUGGACUGCAAUUUAGGACAGACAAAAAAGGAAAACAGGACUAUCAAAGUGGGACGGAGGGAGUAUUAUUUUGACUCCUUGUGUAUGUAGUUUCUUGGAUCUCAAUUCUUCCAAGGCCACAAUAUCAACUCUAAUAUAAGUAUUUUAUCACUUGUGUUUGAUUUCAAUAUGUUGUAGCAAAGAGAUUUGCAAAUGACCAUUCAUGGUAGAUACCAAAGGCAAAGUUUGCAGGUGAGGUUACUUUUUGAUUUUUUUUUUUCAAGCUGAAUAGUUGGUACAAUUGAUUACUAGAAGGCUUAGUUAGUACUAUAACCUGGACGCUAGUUAGUACUAUCUGGUGAGAGGUCAUCGUAAAUAAUCAGAAACCUAAUGAUUCACUCAAAAUUACGUGCGGAAAAGGAAUGUCUGAGGAAGGUGAUAAAAAUAGCUAAAAGGGAAUGAUUGUGUGAAAGAAAUUAAAAAGAUAGACAAAAUUACCUAAAAAUAGAUAUUUAGACUGUUGAAUGAAAUUGCUUUCCAAAAAAUUCCACAGCUCUAUGAUACUCUGUUGCUGAUGUAUAGGAAAAUCUUGGGUUAUGGAGAUAGAGUAGAAGAAGCACAAUAUAAGCUUUUAUUUAGAAGAUGGAUUAAUGGGAUACUAUUCGUUGGAUACAACUAUAGGUAGCAACAUUUAGUGACAUGACUAGAUUGCCAUAACUAGGCAUUUUGGACCACACCACAUACAAAACUACUGUGAUUUCUAAGCUUAGAGUAUUAAGUUACUGGAUCACUUUUUUUUUUUAAGACGUGAUAUAUGUGAGAUAAAAAAAUAACUAAAAAUAUAUAAAAGAAAUAUUUACGAAAAAUGAAAAGAAUUUUCUCCACAAAAUGGCAAUCCGAACAAGGCCCUAGAUUGUCAAAAUAAAAUAUCAAUAGAGGUAGAUUCAUUAGUGUUGAGUCUUAUAAUUAAGGUAAUUUUACAAACCUCCUCUGAUCUUUCAGACAAUUCAACUUGGCGCCUCUGAGCAUUAUUAUUAAACCUGGCCCAAACAUCAACCUAACAAGAUCACUGGUUCAAUAGGUUACUGAUCACCAAUGGUUUACCGGUUGAACCGGUGGUUAUAUUCAAUAGACUUGAAUUAAUAAAAGAAAUAUAAUUAUCGAAUUGGUGAUUGAACUGAUUUUUAUUUUUAUUUUCCUUUUUUUGGUUUUGUUACUUUAGUAAACACGUUCCUUCCUUGUAUAGUCCAGCUACUAACCCAUCCUGACGAAGUAGUGGUUGGUUUAUGGCCAGACCGGUUGAACCGUCAGAUUGGUACCGGUUUCAAUAACUAAGCUGAUGAAGUUCGACUGUUCUAGUAUUAAGAUGACAUCUCCUAUUUUGAGUUUCAAUACAACAAACUCAACUCAUCAACAUAGAUGUUCAUGUAAAAUCUAAAAUGCAUUACUUUUCCAAAUUGCCCUUACAUAAGUCAUUAAAUUUUCAUAUAACACAUUACAAUAAAAACAAAAAGACUCGGAGAUGCAGAAAAAAAGAGAAAUAUUUAUCUUGAGAAAAAACUCAUAGCAAGUUGCAAUGACUUUUGAUAAGGCAAUUUGCACGUUAAAAAGCUUUUUAAAAUUUUGUUUUAACGAGGGAAUAGUGGGAUUUAAGGAGCGAAAAAAGAGAAGAGGGAUUAGAAAUCAAGACCUUUAAGUUUUGGGACUCUAACCUUAGCUAUUAGAACAAGGGAAGAAUUAAACAUAUGAAUCUUUGAUAAUCAGAAAUACACCUAAUAAAAGUACCAAAGACAUUCAUUUCAAAAUGAUGCAAUGUUCUUACCUAUUUUAGAGGCUGUGAAGUGUAACAUCAAGCACUUCUUUGAUUUUAAUUUUGUUAUCUGAAUUUCUUGUGGGUCUAUAUAUUUCCAAGCAUUAAGAUUUAUCAAAUAUCAAAGGUGCAAAGUAAAUUUGUCAUAGACCUCAUGAAACAUUUGUGAAAUCUAUUUCUAUAUACCUAUUCAUGAGUUUAUAUCUUCUAGAAGGUUUCUAAUCCUUGACAUGUAUCAUUUUCUAAGAUUAUUGCAUUUAUUUUUUUCGUUAAUAAAUUUUUGAUGAUCCAAUGAUUAUGUAUUAGUUAAAGUUCAAAACAUAGCACGGGCAUAAGUGUAAAUGUCUAAAUACUUAUAUAGCAUGGAAAAUAUAUUUAAAUGUCUAAAUUCCUACUUUAUUCUGAAAUUUAAAUUACUUCUAAUAAUUUAUAAUUCCUGUACAUAACACGUCAAAUAAAAGCCAGUUUCGUUAUGGAUUAACUUUUUAUAUACGGACAGUAUAGUAAUUUUUUAACACUAACAGCUAUAAAUAUAUGCCACAUUUGCAUAAUUUAAAAUUUAAAAUUAAAUACAUAUUAUGUAAUACAAUUUAAACCUGUUAAUAUAUAUAAAAAAAAGUGUACACUAACAAUGUAUAAAAAACUGACUCUUAGGUAUCCCUGAAAUGCAACUGAAGAUUUCUUGUGCAUAGUAUCAAACUUUUCUGGUGACUCCCACCUUCAUUUUUUUUUUCUUAAAUACUUGGGGCAUGUGAAAGGCCAUAUAAUAAAAGCCAAAACAGAAACAAGUAAUACACAUCGGAGAAUGAGCUUUCAAUUUCUUCAAGUCCUCCGCCCCCUCUGAUCAGAGUCCAAAGGUCUGUGCUUUCGUACAGAGAUCAAAAAAUAAUACUACAUUUCUCUGGACCCCUUUCCACGCUUAUUCCGUCUCAGUUGGAGAAGUUGGAAAAGUCGUAGCAAUUGGGCGGUUUGGCGUGAAGUGAUGGUGAAACGUUUGUUUUAUUUGGACCAUUUGUACAAUUUGAUGUUAACGUGUCCACGACUAAUACAAGCCAACAGUCAUUUGAUGUCUUGAUCAUUGUUAAAACUUUAAGUCUUGAUCCAAAACUUCGAGUCUUGACUGUGGAUGGGAGAUAAAAGGUUCAAAUCUUGACUCCUAUCAAUCACUAUUUGUGACGCUUCCAUCCAUCUGUUAGACUCUCCCUCUCCAGAAUAGAUUACAGGAAUAUUAUUUUUGAGACAAAAAAAAAGACCCCGACUAAUAUAAAAAAAUUUGAACAGAACACAACAAAUCUUGAUUACAAAAACCAAAUGGGUUCUUAAAUUUUGGCCGUAUAUAUAUAUGACACAGCUUUUAAUUCAAUUUUAUACAAUUGUGUCUAGAUAAAAAAAAAAAAAAAAAAACAUGGACAAGCCCACUGUUUGGAGAAGAAGAAAACACAUCAGUUUCUCUGCAAAGGAGGCGUCUAUUCCAACGUGUGCUGUCUUGAUAGGUUUGCUGGCAUUUGAUCUUUUCUACCUAGAAAAAUUAAGAGGAACUUCACUUUCCUUGAAACUUCUUUUGGAUUUGGAUUACAGUAAUAUUAAUUGUACGAGGGGACAGAAAAAAUUGUCUGCUGACACUUUCUCCUUUGGUGACUUGGACAUGAGAUAAGGGCGUCUCUUUUUUGGACUUCCGGGAAAUGAGAUGUGAAAUGAACUCUUUGGAAAUAGGCCUUUCCCAUGGGGAAAAGAGACGUUGGUAGUUUUAAAAGUAAAGCAAGACUGUAAACACCUUGGGAUGGAGAAAUUUGGUGAGAAAAGGGGACUUUUCCCUGGCUCGUGGGUCUCAAGAAGUAUUCACUCCGUCCCACUUUGAUAGUUCUGUAUUCAUUUUUUAUCUGUCCCAAAUUAUAAUCCACUUUUCAAUUGAAAAAUGUAGUUGUAUUUUAAUUUUUCUAAAAUACCCUUAUUCAAUGUAAGUAGUUGUUACUAUAAACUUAUUUCAUUUAAUGAGAGUUGAUUCUUUUUUUACCAUCAAUUCAAGUUCCCAUAAAGUUGUACCAUAUUUAAUGUGAGGGCAUUUUAGUAAAAUAACAAUCUAAAUUUAUUUUUCCAACAAAGUUAACUACUUUUUUUUAAAUUGUGUAAAAAAAGAAACGAGACUAUCAAAGUGGACGGAGGGAGUAGAAAAGAACAGAAAUGCAAGCUACACGAGUGAACAUGAGUGAUAAAAAGUUGCUAGCUACACGUAUGUUUGAUAAGUUUAAAUUAACAGGUAAUUAAUUUCUAGAAAUAAUUAAUGCUAUUGUAUAGUGUUUCCUCUAUUUUCUAUCCUAAGCUCUUGAACAGAUGCACAAUUUUUUAACUUUGUUUUUCACAUUUUCUUUUUGCUUGACAAGAAAUCCGUUAACAAAAUCGAUAGGAUUUAUUCAAUUAAAAGUUGUAAAGAACAAAAGCUCUAGUCUGCAAAAGAUUCGUAUUUAUUGCAGCUUAGGAAACAAAUUACAAGCACCUCAAGAAAAGCUUUAGCUUAAUACCAGUGCCAAUGGACUAAUUCACAAAAACCAAGAAUAUAUGUAUAGUGUUUCUAAGAGUAACUUUAAACAAAAUAAUAACAACAACCAUAAUAAUAAGAAUUAAUCUUAUAUACACUGUCAGUGUAUACACUAUCAUUAUUAAAUAUACGACACAUGUGCAAAAUUUGAAUUUGAAAAUUCAAAUUUUGCACAUGUGUCAUCCAUCCAACCGUGAUAAUGUGUACACUGACAAUGUACAUAAAAUUUACUUUAAUUUUAAUAAUAAUGGCAAUGUCAUUUGCAAAGUUUUAACCUAAGACAACCUUAUAUAAUGUUAGCCGAGGGUCGAGAAGAAGGCAAUAUGAUGUUAGAAACCUUAGCAUAUUCCUUUCAUGCAUAUGAAAAACAUUAAUGGAAGUGAAUUAAUGACCAUUAUGCAUCAAAUCAAAGUAAUAGCACUAUUCUUAGAGCUACUAAUUUAUUUUUGUCACAAAUAUUAAGAUAAAUGCUGUAACAAUCUCUGCAGGUGCGGUUCAAAUCCCCAUUCUCCCUCCACACUUUCUAAAUUUUAUCCUUUCCUUGCUAAAGGAAAAUUUUAAGUAAUAAAAAAAAAAAAUCUCUGCAGAUGUACAUGCUUUGUUGUACAAAAUCACAAAAAUCAAAAGAUGCCCUUCUAUAUUCAAAAAGGUUGGAUACUGCAAAUCUCAUAUGCUCGUGAUCUAGUUCGAUUGCGAUACUGCUCAUCCUGUGGGUGAAGUGUUGGCUGACUACAUGCAUGAGCAUGCACCAGCAAAUUUUGGCAUGCAGCACGAGUUGAAGAACCAAAUUCAAUUGAAAUGAAGCAAUAUGUGGUUGGAAGUUCAUUUGGCCGACCUUAGAGUGUAAAGCAUUGUAAGGACUGCAGACAACGUCAAACAAAUGCCAGUCCACCCUAUCACCACUUGUUUUGGUGUUUAACUGGUAUUCAUUCUAUUAGUUGGAAUCCAACUUGCCAAGUUGGUAAAAUUUGAACAGAUAACUAGUAAAGGGACUUCUACCAAGAAGUCAGGUUGCCAUUGUGGGAAAAGGAAAUGCACCUUCCAAUGAGUUUUGGAGAGAUUGAAUGGCUUUUCUGAUCGAUGAACUAAUUCCCACUUAAAGAAAUCGUGAGAUCAAUAAUGUGUUACUCCCUCCGUCCCACUUUGAUAGUCUUGUUUUCCUUUUUGGUCUGUCCCAAAUUGUAGUCCACUUUCCCAUUAAGAAAUGAAAUGAUCUUUCAAAUUGUCUACAAUACCCUUAUUAAAUAUUUUGUUUUUAAUACAUUGUUAUUAAAUACUAACCCAUUACAUUGAAUACAUUGAGCUUUUCCAAUGCACUCUUCGUUAUUAGCAUAAGGGUAUUUUAGGAAAUUAUUAAUCUAAAUUUAUGUUUCCAACCAAAUUAAUUACACUUUCUUAAUCUGUGUGAAAAAAAAAUCAAGACUAAGUAAACGGGACGGAGGGAGUAUUUUGGUUCUAGCUGCAUCAACAUUGAAAACUGAACUAGCAUCUAAGAAUCACAAUCCCAUGGUUAUGUAGUUUUCAGACUAACAGAUCGAAGUGGUGGGAGACAUGAAAUGACAGAAUUUGAAGUCUUGGAAAAGCAGAAUCGAAAUAUUUAAAGUGAAGGCAAACGCAAAAGCAUGCACAGGUUGUAUUGUAGUUCCACAAAUUGAGGGAUACUUGAAAUCAAAGCCUAAUCUUCAGUGUCAUCGCGUUGAUUCGCAAGCAAAUGAGAUCUUGGAUUGAAGCAGUUAAGUCUGAUUAUGCUAGAAUAAAUUUGGAUACAUGGAUACACUAGCAAUUCUAGAUGCAUGGUAUUAUAUUUAAAACUUAAAGUUUGAAUUCAAAAUUUAUACGUGUAUCAUCAUGCAUUCAGAUCUGCUAAUAUAUACACUGUUAAUAUAGAAAAAGAUUAAUUCAUUAUAUUAAGAUUUGAUAUGUCCAUGUGUAAAUACACUACUGUUUGUAUACAUACGGUUGAAUCUCAAUACAUGACAAAUGUGCUGAAAUUGAAUUUGAAUCAUAAAUUUUGUACGUGUGACAUACAUCUAAACUAACUAGUUUAUACGCGGUCCAUGGUCACGUAGGAAAGGUUUAUGCACAAGUUAAUGCUGUCCCUCUAAAAUUGCUUCAAUGGCUAAAUUAAUCUUGAAUAUUAGCUAAAAAAAAAAAAUUAAGGGAGUUCUACAGUCCCUUUAUCUGUUAUAGAAUAGAAGUUAUCAACUCUUAAAUUAUUUUAAAAGUUUGAAUUACAAAAUGAUAUGAAAAGAUGUGAAUGGAUUAAAAUCAUGGGUACCGUACUGCAAAAUGGACUGCAGCAUUAUCCAAAAAAAUUAAUCUUUUGUAUCACUGGAAACGUAAAUUCCUCUUUUAGUUCCACAGCCACUAGAAGUGAAAAGGACAACAAGUUCGAUAUCAGGCCCAUGAACGCCUUCUAUAAGCGCCGUAGGCCCACAAGGCUAUGGAUCGGCAAGUUGGACGCCGCAUCUUGCAAUUUUGCAACUUGAUGGAUGCUGGUUGCAAUAAAUCAUUGCUUGCCAAAAGGAGUAUAGAAAUGGAGGAAAUUGACCAGAUCUUUAGAACUAGCUAGUGAUUAUGCACACUUGCAAUGUGUGCACCAAAUGAAAAAUAAUACAUUUUGUCAAAUCUAAAAUGUGUUAUUUUUCCAAAUUGCCCUCACAUAACUCAUAAAAAAAUCAAUAUAACAAAUUUCAAACAAAAAAUGAUUUGAAAUGCUGAAGAAAGAGGAGAAAAGAUUGUCUUGAGAAAUUACUGAUUUUUUAUUGCAAAGAGUUUGGAUGAGGGCCAUUAUUUAGAGCAUAUAUUACAAUUUUGAAUCUUGUAUCUUGAAAUACUUAAUAUAAAAAUACCACAUUUUACAUGGACAAAGAAUGAGGAUUAAUUUUUCGCCUUUUUUCUUUAACAAUAUAAAGUUGUUUUCUAAUUUUAAACUCGCUAUUUCAACUUCUUGUUGGCCUAAAUAUUUUCAAGCUUCAAUAAUUAUAUAUAAUUUUCUCAAUGGCUUGCUUAUGACUUGUCUAGCUCCCUGUAACCUAAUCAACCUUCCAGAUCCAUUUUGCAACCAAAAUGACCAUAUUCUUCUUCUUCAUUUUCAAGUAAAAUUUUAGUGAUUUUUGUUAUGAAAAAUUUGUAACGAGCGGUGCAACGAUGAUAUUCGGGAUGAAAAAGUUUUUCACGUUUUAUAUGGUUCUUUUUUGUAUAUAAAGGUGGGCAGAAUUUGUCGCAUCAAAACUCAAAUAAGGGAGGUAAGUGUAACGUUCAAAAUCCUGAAAGCGGCCGGUGAAAUUCUUAGAAACUUGAACAUUUCUGAAAUUAUCCCUAGAAUGUGGCUCAACAUUUUUCAAAUUCUUAGAGAAAACCCUUCGUGUUUCAUUAUAUCCUCUGUCUAAAUCAAUAGAGAAUUGCGUGUUCAUCUUAUCCUAUUCACAACAAAAGCCAAAACAAAAACAACUGUUAAAUUUGUGCAAGUCAUCCCUCCUCUCCGAUCAAUAAUCCAAAUGCCUGUCGCUCUGGACAAAACUUAACCAAUAAUACAUCACUCACUCUGGGCCAUCUUGGACGCUUUUUCCGUAUCAGUUGGAGAAGCAUUUGGGCAGUCUGGCGUGAAGUGAUGGUGAAGUCUUGUUUUUGUUUGGGCUGUAUUUGCAUAAUUUGAUGUUAACAUGUCUCCACUAUUAUAACAAAUGCUUGAACAGAAAACAACAGAUCUUGAUUGGAAAAAAACAAAGGGGUCUUUAAAAUUUUUGGCUAUGUGCGUAAACUGGAGAGUUUUUAAUUCAAUUUUUUGCAAUCUUGUCUAGAAAAAAUAUGAACAAGUCCACUAUUUUUAACAAAUGAAAACUCUCCAAAGAGGCGUUUAUUCCAAUGUGUGGUGUUUUGAUAGUGUUUUGACUGGCAUUCGAUCUUUUCUCCAUGGAGACUUCACUUGAAACUUCUUUUCCUUAGAAUUUAAGUUAUGAUUAAUUUUAUACUCACAGUAGAUACACUAUUACUAUUGGAUACAUAAUACAUAGUUUGAAUUUGAAUUUAAAACCUAAAUUUUACAUAUAUAUCAUGUAUCCAAUCGUAAUAAUAUAUAUAUUAUUAGUAUGUGUGUAUAUAUAUUUAGAAAUAUCUCAGUCGUUACUUUACAUCUUUUUAGAAUUUUAAAGAAUCAUGAAAGUAUCCAAAAAUUUGACAGUGGGAUACCUAAAACUCUCUCAUUCAAUCAUUCUUUUGUAUCAUCAUUCGAGAUAUGAAUAAGGAGAUGAAAUGACAUAGACUCGGAAAAUUAGUAGCUAACAUAACUUUCAAAGUCAUAGCGUCUGUAACAUUUCUUAUUUUCCUAUUCUGAGAGCUACUAAUCAUAACUGUUGUAAUUACCUCUGCGGAUGUAUCUGCUGCUUUGUAGUGAAUCACGAAAAUCAAAGAAUGCCCUUCUAUAUUCUAUAAAGAUGGAUAGUGCAUAUACCAUAUCUUCAUCAUCAAGUUCAAUUGUUUUGCUGCUUAUCCUGCGGUUGAAGUGUUGCUUGAGAAAAUGCAUGAACGAGCACAAGCAAAUUUAGGGCACAUUUAAUCAAUCCUAAUAAUGUAAAAGUUUCUAUACUAUUAUGUGGCAACUUUUGGGUUCAAGUUUGAGGCAAUUUCCUUAUUUAGUAGUUUGAAUCUAAUUUUUUUUUUUAUAUCUUUUUUCUAUCAGAGGAGAGAUGAAAUUUAAGAAAUAAAGAGAGAAACGGGUGAUUUGAACCUGAAAACUUUAAUUUAUAGGGUUUCAACCUUAGCUAUCAGAUCAAAACCUUUUCGACUAGUAGUUUGAGUUUAAUGUUAGGCAAUCUACUCUUAUUUAUUGGGUAAUGUUGACCACAUGUAGGGUGUUUAAUUAUUGUCUCUAAUUGAAAAGAAUAAAAGUUUGGCCGACCUUGGAGUGUACAAAAUCAUAAGGACCACAGGCAACGUCAAACAGAAGCCAGUCCACCCUGCCACCACUAACAAGUUUAUGCAUUUGGCAGGGUGGAUUGGCAGACAAGUUUAGGUUUUAUAUUGAUUGAAAUCCAGCUGGUAAAAUUUUGAACAGGCACUAGUAAAAAGACUUGCGACCAAGAAGUCAAGUUUCUGUCGUUGGAAAAAGCCAAUAUGUGGCUUUUAAUAUGAUUAGAUAAUCAUAGAUGAAUUCAAAGUGAUUCAAAGACUUUUUUUAGCUAUAUAUGAAUUCAUUCCCGCUUGAGGAAAUAAUGAGAUCAAUGAUUAAACAAGGUUUAUUUUUGGUUCACUAUUAUAGUAGUGGUAUCGAAAAUAAAUUGAAGUAGCUAGAAUUAGAAUCCCAAUGCAGUGCAUUUUCUCAGACCAACUGAUGGAAGUGAUGGGAGAUAAGGGUAGUUAUGAUUCUUGUAGUUUGUAGAGAAGAUUAUGUACUGGACUUGUGUCAAAAAGACUAAAGCACUAGUUAGCAUAACGUGUCCCUAAACCCUAAACUCUAAUCGUGUUAAUAUUGCUCCUCUUAAAAUCUUGAGAAAUGGUAAUCCCUUGAAACGCAAUAUCCUCCUUAAUUUCACAGGCAGAAGAAAAAAAAAUAAUAAGAGAACAAACAACACAGUUGAACAAAAUGUUACUCUUUUCUUGUAUUUUGAAGUUAAAUCUUAAAACACUUAUUAUCGUUAAAAGACGACAUCAGGCCAUUCUAAAUUCAUGCCUUAUACGUUGAGUUUUGAUAGUUAAGUUAUUUCAAAUAACAUUUCGCUUGUAUUAUAAACACGUUUUUCAACUCAUUCUUUUAUUUUAUAUACAUUACGUCACAAAAAAGUGUUACAGUAAUUAUUUAUUUUAAAUAAUAUUUCAAAUAAAUCAUCAUCAUCAAAGGCAUGGAUUUAAAAUUGAAGGGUUUGGAUUGAACCCUUUUUAUUCCAAAUAUUGCUUUAAUUGGAUUUCAAAUUAUGAUGCAGGCCCGCAUUCAUCUUUUAACUUGGGCUCCAGUAUGGUUUUAGACCGCCAACCAUAUUCAUGCUGUAACUUGCAAAUUGAUGAAUAUAAGUUUUAAAUUGUGAACCUUUUCUUUGAUUACCAAUGAACUCUUUUGCUUGUCAUCUCCGUGAAUAGAAUUUUCAAUCUCGUAGGAGUAGAUCACCACAAAUAUGAAAUUUUGGAUUUUUUUUUGGCUGUAUUUACCCGGUGCCCACUCUCACGUAGCAGCUGCGAAUUUUUUUAUUAACAAAAAAAAGGAAAUGAUAAUUUUUUUAGAAUAUUACCUAUUAAAUCAAUCAAUUAUUAAAAUUUAAUCUCCUUAAUAAAACCAUCACCGUGAUAUAUAAUAACUUUACUUAAAAUUGAGUUCCAAUUCUGUCUAAAUAAUUAAAUUAACAUUGAUUAUCAAAUUUGAGACACUAUCAUCCUUCAAAAAGUUUCCUAUUGAUUAACAUCAUACACAUCAUCUACUCAAUUAAUUAAAAAAAAGCCAACAAAACUCUUGAUAUAUCAAGGAGAAAGAAUUGUAAGUAAGAGCUCAUGAAUUUAAAGCCUUUAACUUGCCAAAAAAGUAACAGAGAGGUAUAAGAAAAACUCCUGGUGUAUUAACAAAAUGCACCACACAAAAUAAUGAAGCCCAACUAACCAGCCCAAUAACCAAGAGGUUAAGCCCAAUGAAUGAGUCACUCUCCAAACUUCCAAUCACCGCCAUAGGAGCUGCAGCUUCGCUUCAUUCAGGCUAGCUGGAAGUAAAACAAAAACCCUAAAAUAUCGAAUUAGGGUUUUACUUGUCGAAUUCGAUUGAAGCCAGCAAUUAAGUAAGGCACAAGCUAACAAAUUAGGGUUUCCCCAAUAUUUUUUAUUCUUAAUUAGCAAUUAAAGAUGUCGUCUCUGAGGAAUGCGCUUCCGCGGAGAGCUCACAAAGAACGGGCCCAGCCGUAAGUACUUUCAAUCCUAUUUCGGUGCUAAUUUUUUCAUUCUUUUUUUUGGGAUUUUCUUAUGAUUGUGUAAUUUACGGAGUAAUGUUUAUGAAUAUGUUGCAGGGAAGCUAGGAAAAAAUUUGGGCUUCUUGAAAAGCACAAGGAUUAUGUUGUUCGAGCCAAGGCUUACCAUAAAAAGGAGCAAGCUUUACAGGUAUACAACUUCAGAUUGUAUGGAAUCUGGUUUGCAAUUUGUGGCUUUACCAUUUGAGUUGUCAAAUUGUGGAAGAAUUUGCCUACAUGAUUCAGUUAAAGGUGUACAAGAACAGUGUCCUUGUGUACCUUUUCACAGGAUUUGGAUGUUGGUCCUAAAUCUUAGGUGUAUGGAAGCUGCAUAUGUAGACUCCAACAGCCAUACUAUAUAUAUAUAUAUAUAUAUAUAUAUAUGUUUAUUACACAAAUUUGAAAUUUUAAACGUGGGUGAAAUGGAAUUGUGUGUUUGGUUAUUUCUGAUUGAGCAUUGGAUUAUUGGGUGACUUUGUAGCUUUAUGAUCUGAGGUGGUUUUGUUUUUCUUUUCUUUUCCUUUCUGGAAUAACAGAAACUCAAAGAAAAAGCGGCAUUUAGGAACCCAGAUGAAUUCUACUUUAAGAUGGUCAAAGCAAGAACUGUUGGUGGAGUUCAUAGGCCUGAGUAAGUGAUGCAUUGAAUCCACUGAUUGUACAUUUAUUAUCAUUAGUACAAUUUUUUUUUUAUUGGGGAUUCUUUGUGCGUGACAAAAUUUGACUUGUAAAUGGCUUUUGAAGGAGCGAGGCUAAUAAGUAUACUCCUGAGGAGCUUCUGUUGAUGAAAACCCAAGAUAUGGGCUACAUUAUGCAGAAAAUUCAGAGUGAGAAAAAGGUUUCGUAUUUUAAUGGUGAAAUUAUAUUUGUUCAUAAUGCUCAUGUGCUUGUGCAAUGUAUGUAUUGAAAAAGUUGAAUUUUUGGUGCAGAAAAUUGAAAAACUCGCCGCAAUAUUACAUUCGCUGGAUAAUCAGUCAUCAAAGGGACAUGUGUACUAUGCUGAAGAUAGGUUAGCAAUUGUUCUUCUAUCUAUGCUUCUCAGGCUAGUGCUGUAGGUGAUUUUAAUGCAAUUUAUAUGAAUGUGUAAAAGAAAAUGUAUAUGCAAGUAAACUGACAUAAAAACAGGAAUUUCAAUGUCUUGGGGCUUUCUUUCUUUGACAGGGAAGAGGCAAAUGAGUUGCAGUUGAAAAAGUCUGCACAUACACAAGUGUCUAUUGAUGAGAAUUUGCCCAAUCAUGUGAAGCGGUAAAAUAUUUUCUCAAGCUGAUUUCUUGAGAUUAUUAUUUCUGCCUGCAGUUCAUCUGCUUUUUGUAAAUAUUAUAAUUCAAUUGGAUAUGCUUCCUCCUAGAACAACAAAUUGACUGUCUUCUUGCAAGGCUAAACUUUGCUUAGAAUAAACUUGUGAUCUCUUAGUGUCAAAAAUUUAUAAAUAAGCCCCUAAAUUGAAUUAGUUAGUUAAGCCCUUUGAUAAAUUAGGUGCAACUUCAGUGACGUUGACUACUAAUAAUCUGAUAGAGUUUAAAGUAGUGAACUAGUUGGGAAAAUGAGUUAUUUUUUUGUUUAAUAAAGAGAAUUUAAAGGUGUGUUAGACAUGAGGUGCCAGAUUGCCAUGGAUUUGAUCACCCGUUUUUUUCAUAUUAGAGGUAGAGUAUUAACUUAUCAAACGUAGUUUUCCUGAAAAAAUAAUUGGGUAAAUUUGCUGGGUGGGGGUAAAGAAAACAGAAAGGCCUACCUGUUGUUGGGAAGGAGAUGCAUAAAGUCUAAAAGAGUGAAAGCCUGGAAGAUAGCUUCUCCAACUGAGACAUUUACACAACAGAAAUUGGCUUCUUCCUCAACAAUGCCUUCCCUGUUCAAUAAUCGGUCUAAGAGUCUUUCUAUUGUGUUAGUCAUCUCAUUCUGAUCUUUGGUGCAGUGUAAAUAGUCAGUUUUAGAGAUUUUUAAGUUAGACAUGGGCUUCGACUCUCACUGUUGAUGACUGGUUGCUCAUUAAGCAUGUAUUGGGCCAUUGAGUUGGUUGAGAUAUUGUUGCUUUGUUUGUUAAAUUUUGGACUUUUUGACUGGGAUUGAAGGCAGGAAGUACUGCAAUUUCUCGUUUCUAGAAUCAAUUGUCUUUGCUGCCACUCCAUCUUUAAAUAUUUCAAUUGGGGGGGGGGGGUUUACUACUCGGUCUAUUAUAUGAAUUGCUUUAUCUUCUAGCUCAAUCUGUAUUUCAAGAAGUUAAUCCGUCAUUGUGUUUUCUCUGAUAUUUCUGCCUAUUGACAUUCUUGGCAUGCAGGAAGACAGCUGCUUCUUAUCGGGAAUUGGAGGCAAGAAAAAGCAGAGUUAAUGAUUUAGAGAAAUUGUACAUGGACAUGGCCUUGAAAAAGGAAUUACAGGUAUGGUCUUAUAACCUUGCAUUUGUUUCGUCUUACUGUUUUUGUCCUUUUCUGCUUUAUUGUGAGACCAAUCCUAAUGUUUGAGCAGAAAAAGGGUAGGAAGCGGAAACUUCGUGAAGAUGAGAUUGUCUGUCCAACCAGCAAACCGGUGUACAAGUGGCGUGCUGAAAGAAAACGCUGAAGAGGCCAAGCUUGUAUAUCUCAUGCAAUUAGGACCGAUGAUGAUGACCCUGUCAAAGAGCUGUUUAGGCUGUACAAAUCAUUCUGGGUGCGAGUACUUCUGACAGACGUGCAGUUUUGCGAGAUGUUCUUCAUUAUUGUAGUUUGCAAUUCUAUUAUUUGCUGCUGCUGCUUAGACAUGCAAAACGUGCGAGGAUAUUUGGCUGCUUGAUUGGAUUUAUGAUCGGGAUUAUAGCCGUUCAGACAAAAAUCUAGUUGUAGAGGAUUAGACUGAACUCCUCCGUAACAGUUUUACAGACUCUGAAAACAUACGGCACUGGCAAAUGUUUUGGGGGCUGUGUUUGCUGGGGUUAACACGGGUAACUUUGAAUUGCCAUGCUGUCUUGCAGUUGUUGUCGUUCUUGUUAUAUUGAGGAAAUGUGUUAUGCUACUUAUCUGAAGCUCAAAAGUUUGUCUUUGCAACUUCAUUUCCACAUACCGUAGUAAGCUGCUUGAGGGGCUUAUACGUGAACUUAGAAACUGGCAAGUGCUUCUUUCGUCCAUUGUACUUUAGUAAACAUACCUGUUCUUGAGGAAAAAGUAUCAUAAGCCAAAAUUAAAUAAUCUAAGUUUUUUCUUCUCGAUUGAUUAUUUUACCUAAUUAUAGAUUUUGACUUUGAAUAAUCAAUUUUUAUUAUGUUCUCAAUUGCUUAUGUAUUCUGUUGCUGGUUUUGAUUAUUCUCCAUAAUCAGUUUCCAUAAUUAGAUUUUUUAAAAUCUAAAGCUAUAGAGAACAAGACCAACAAGGGAAAAAGACACUUUUGGUCAAACCUGCUCAGCAACUAUCCAGUCAUAUAAUCUGUACCAUAAAUCCACUGAUGAGAAUGAUAUGCCUGUUUUCUGCGAGACGAACAAGCCUGCCAACAUGACCGUUACUUUCGAUCGAAUUUAGAGCAGCAGAUUAAUUAGUCUUUGAUAUUACAAACUCUGCUGGCUCCAAAAUCAUGGUAUGCACAAAGCGGCAUAUCUGACACUGAAGUGAGGCUUCUCUUAGUUUGUUAUCAAUUUGGCAGCAACAUACUCUGCAAUAGCCAUGCUUGCAGUAAGUCCAGGAGACUCAAUACCAAACAAGUUUACCAGACCAGUGAUGCCAUGAAUGUCCUCCCCCUGCAAAAGUGCUUGUUCAAACAAAUUUAAGUACGAAAAAGAACUUAAAAUUUGGAGACAAUACAGUGUUACAUGGCUAACAAUCUUGCAGAUAACAAAAGAGUUACGUUACACUGACUUUUUUGCAGUACAUAGAAUGAAAUUUAGGAGAAUGAGAUUUUUCUUGUUUUCUUUUGCUCCAGAUUGUGACAACAACUUUGUAAUGAACAAAACUCAGGCAUUAUGCAGACAAAUAGGAAUCCCCAGCACAAGAAUCCCAAAGUUCAUGCCACUUUAGGUAGUAUCGAUUGGGAUCACCAAAGGUCUUAGUCUUUCCGUUGACCAACCAAGCAACAUGUUUCUAUAACAUCUAAUCAGAUACAGGAGGGUUCAGUAGACAAUAUAAAGUAGAGCUAGACAACAAGUAUGAAAUUACCUGUACUAAAAAAUCAGCAGGAACCUGUUUGGGACCAGAAACUUUAGGUCGGAUACCAGAAUAAGCUGGCUCCAGAGAUCCAUCCUUGAGGUUUGGGUAGUAUUUUCUUAUUUCUGGGUAGAACCGCUUUGACCGAUCUUUACAAACAGAGUAAUCAAACCUGCAAAACAUGUAUAUAAUGACCAAACAUGGUAACUAAGAUCCAUAUUGACAAGCAGCAACUUGAACAAUUAAAAUCGCACUAGAAAUUCCUAUAUUUGACCACUAAAAAAGUGCUUUGGCUCGUGUUGUAUUGACUUAUGACAUUCUCAAAACUCUAAAUUGAAAAGGCUGAAUCAGUAUGUCAGCGGUACAAAUAAAAGGCACUGCUAGUUUCUUUGUUAAAUGGACAAUUUCUAGUGUAAGAUUCUACUUAAGGAUUUAUAAAUUUUGGAGAUUUCAAUCACUUUGAUAUCCAUCAAAAUAAGUUUAGCCUACUUUCUCAUUCAGCUUCUGGACAUGCUUCUCAUCUUGUAGGGUUUAUUUUCUACGUUUCAUUUCUAGACAUCCAUAUGCCAAAAGGUUUUAUGCAAAACUAAAUUGCCAUUGCCUGUGGACCACAGACACAAAAGCCUUAUCUUUUGGAAAAGUUAAAACAAGAAAGAAAAGAAGGAAACUUGGUUGAUACCCAACCCAGUAAGGUGAGGAAACUUUUCCUAAAAUGGUUGCUCAAGAAAAAGAGUAACUUGGAUGUGAAGUAAUAGUUUCUAUACAUCAGUAACCACAACAGCAGAUUUUAACUUGAAAAUCAUUUAGCAUAUAUUUGAUUGUUCAUAAAUGCUGACAGACUGAUCAAUUUGCAUAAGACCUGUGUGGUUGGAAACAACUCUGGACAUGUAAUCGCAAAAUUCUUGUCUUCCCUAAGGCUAGAAACAUGUCAUUCACCAACUAAAUGCCUAUUCAUCGCAAAUUAUGAAGGGCUAUUAUAUCUUCCAUUCUAGUUGAACACACGUUUCCACUUUCACAUACUAGAUCAUGCCAAUUUUCCAUACAAAUCAUGGCUCCAUAUGCUCAAAAAAGGAACAUGCCAGCUAUGCCAAAUAAUUCAAGAGUAUUAUGUUAAAGAAGAUGUUCAAUAUUCAAGACAGUGUUCUUUUUGCAGUCAAAACUUAUAAUUAAUGAUUCAGAAACUUCUUAAAACUAUAUAGCACACUGCACAAUUAUAUGUGACCAGUCAUCAAUGAGAUAGAGGAACAAUUCAACCAUAUAAACAGAGUGAAAGAAUAAGCUUAAAAGAAUUGCUCACAAAUUCAGGAAGCUUGAAAUAUCAUCUAUGCAAUCUAUCCAUUCCACGUCAGGACCAAAUUUGACUUGGCCAUUUAAAUCUAGAGUAACAUGUACUCCUAGGCCACCAUCCUCAGGCAUAGGAUAAAUCAAGUGGUGGAAAAGUGGAGUUUUAACAUUUGAUAGGGUGAAAUAGCAACCACGAGCAUAGUAAGGAGUAGGGAUAACCCCACUAUCUAGGCCACAGAAUCGUCUUGCAAGACUUGGCGCACUCAAGCCAGCAGAGUUCACUACAAGCUUAGGAUUAAGAAUAAGCUCUGGAUGCAAUGGACUACUUGCACCCCAACUCUUAAGAGCACUGCUUUCAGAAAUAUGAAGUUGGAUUUUAUUUCCUUCACGAUGACCACCAAUAACUGAAGCAUUGUAAGAGAAAGUUGUUCCAUGACUUUCAGCUUCCCCCUGAACCCAAGUCGAGAGGAGAUCCCUGUCACUAUAUGUAUAUAUAACUCUGGAAUGGUAAACCAGAGAAACAACAAAAUUACACUCUCAGAAACAGGUACAUAGAGGAUCCAUAAAAUAUUAGUCUAACAAGGGAUGAACAUAAUAUAUCUCUAAUUAAUCUUGUUAUCCAUCUGAGCUCUAAUAAAUGUAGAGGAAGAACAUAGAAUGUCAUACCACUAAGGAUAGCAUAAGCGAGUGAGUAUCAAUUAUUCCUGAAGCAGGAGAUAACAAAGCUUUUACACAAUGCAACUCUGGCUCCAGUUUCAUAGCCUCAUACCCUUCCAUCAACCUUAGACCAUCAACACCAUUCUCAAUUCCUCGAUUCAGCAAAGCAUCCAAUUUUGGAAUCUCAGAGGACCUAGUAGCAACUAUAAGCUUGCCCAUCUGUUCGUGAGGAAUUUCAUGUUCUUUGCAAUAUCUAUAAAGUAAUUUCCUUCCUCUCACACAAAAAAGUGCCUACAAGAUAUGCACUACAGUUAGCCAUAUGUAUGUCUAUGCAACGGGACCCUGAGAUCAAUUUAUCAGGAAAACAUGCUAGCUUAUAGUCAGGAAGAUCUGAAAACUUGCAUAUUUGGCAAGAAGUUCAUGCACCAAAAGAUAAACUUAAAGGAUGAUAUGGCAGCCUAAUUACUUCCAGAUACAUUUCACCUUUCACUUCCUUUUCAUGCUUCAACUGCUAUGCUUCUUUCUACAUAAUAUCAAAUAACAUGAUAAUGAUGAAACUGACUUUAAGUUACACAAACUGAACAAAAGCUCAAAUUACUCUCAAGUUUCCAAGAUAACCUUUUUUUUUUCUUUUUCACUUUUUAAGGGGUCCAGCAGCAGAAAAGCUUUAACAAAAAUAAUGAAUCUUAUUCACAUGAUAGAUACCAUUUAUAUAAGAAAAUUCUCCUUGAAAAGGACUACAUACGUUGUUUACAGACUCCUCUGCUAUAAACAUGCUUUGACUACAAUCUUUCAUUCAUAUAAACCUCUAGGGAUCAUUAUAGAAAUUUAACUAUACAAUUUUCCAAUUUUAUUUGCCAGAAACUCGUUCCUGCUAUUGGAACGCUUGUUUCAGAGCUACAAGCUGCUCUUUUUACCAAUUUAUUUCAAAAUUCUCAUAAAAUUCUCUGACAUCUAUUACAUCCUAAACUUUUUCCAUCUUCUUGAUCACAGCAAGUAACAAUAACAAGAAAAUUCUUCUACCUUUCCAGAAACUACAAAUUUGAUUGAAGCAGCAGGUGUUAAUAUGAUGAAAGACCACCAAUAGAUUGAGAAGCUUCCACAGACUUCUAAAAGCAUGUGGCUUGGAAAAUCAAUCAAGAGACCGAAUUAGAGAAACAAAUGCAAAUUUGAUGAAUUAGUGCUCGUAAUAUACGUCUAAUUUCCUUAACCAGUAACUCCAUCGCGUUUAAUCGUUCAAGAUACAAAUUUAAAAAAAAAAAAAAUUACUCCAGGAAUGUGAGGAUAGCAAAGUGUAGUUUA